UUACUAAUUAUGUUUUGCUCCGAUCUUUUAAUUUAAUCGAAAUCAAUUUAAAGUAGAAUCCGAGUUUGAAUUUUGCUGAUCUUGAAUUUGCUUUUAUUUUUUUAUAACUUAAUUUAUUUUUUAUAAUUUAUUUUAAUUAAAAAAUUUUAUUUGAUUUUUAUAUAUAAAAUAUUAAAAUCUAAUAAAAAGGGAGAUUAAUUUAUAAAUAUAAGGAUUUAUUAGUAAUUAUAAUACUUAAAGAUUAAUUUAUAAAAAUAUAAAAAUUAAUUUUAAUUAAAAAUAUAAAGUUUAAAUUAAAAAAAUAUUUUAUUUAUUAAAUAAAAUUUAAUGAACUAAAUUUAAAAAUAUAAAUAUUAAAAUAUAAUUUUCACAAUAAAUUAAAAUUUAUCAGUAAUAUUUAAUAUCGUGAAAGUAAAUAACUCUUUUUAUUAAAAAUUAAAAUAUAGGACCUAAUUAAAAAUAUAUUAAACUAGAGGACAGUUUUUUUUUUGUAAUUAUUCCAAAAAUAAAACUGCAACAAAUAAAGCAAUGAGCGCUGCGCACUCCGAGACUUAGCCUGGUGGAAAGUGCAUCCUUGUAGCCUUGAGAGGUCUAAGGUUCGACUCCCCCAACCCCCUAUUUUAAAAAAAAAAAGCAAUGAGCGCUGCCCAACUCACAUCAUUAACCAUACUACCUCCUAAACCUCCAAAGUUAAGCAGUAGGUAACUAAUCCACUGAUCAAAAUCAUAUUGCAGAUUAACCCCAGAAAUAAAGCUAACUGCAGUGAAAUAAAAGCUUGUACCAUAACCGCUUAAGGCUUCACAGUAGCUCACAACCCAUCAUCAAAGUUCAACAGGGAAUCACCCACCAUAAGCCUAUUCCCACACUUACAUGGCAACCUGUCAUCAAAAUCUACUCAUGCACAAUAACAAAUACAUUGUCCACAAACCACAAGGUGUGAUCUUUCCCAAAGUGUAAGCCCCAACAACACACUAUACAAAACCAAUCUCAGCAAUACACAACCUACAGAAAAACUCAAACUAGACCCAACAAAAAACAUCAAUCAUUAAGCAUCAGUAAAAGCCUGUUCCACUGGAGUAUUUACCUCUGAAUAGAGCACAGGUUCAAAACGUACCUCCACACCCUGCUGGAGAAUGGGCAACUAAGAUUGUUUCAUCUUGACUCUGACAUAAUUGGCAGUAGGUAUCUGAAACCAUUCCCUUUUUUCUUAGUCUGGUCUUUACCGAAAGUCUGUCUUGUAGAGCCAGCCAAACUAUGAAGCUGUGUGUAGGGAUCACACUCCUUCCCCAUAAUAACUUCCAUCAAGAUACAGUUGAACUGUUGUUUCUAAUUACCUUUCAGGCGCUGGAGAUGGAGUAUCUCCAUGAAACAUUGAGGCUCCACUUGAUUAUAUCCUCCUGAUCAUCUCUCACCCUAAACCUCCUUAUUUCCUCCCAAGCAUUUUCAGUUACAGUAUUCAUGGGGUCUGAAAGCCUCCAACCUUCUUUCUACAGUCCUUUACUCUUGCAUGCUUAGGGAUGUCAGUAUCCAUAAAAUUUAAGCUACAGAACACCUAUCUUUAACACUUCUUCCAUCCAUCCAAGGUCAAACCAAAAGGACAACAAGUCUCCCUUUUCCAGCUUAUAAACAAAGAGAUUCUUACAGGUGUCCCUAAGCUUCAAUAAGUGUCUCCAAGCCCUAGCAUCCUGAGGUCUAUUUACCCCCAGCAGCUUACCUGCUUCAGCUUAUUCCUCUUAAUCCAUCUUGCCAUGAUGAAUUUCUAGAAGUUAACCACUCCCAUAUCAAUUUCCCAACAACUACUUUUUUCCAUGCUAAUAACUCUUUAAUCCCAAGUGCUCCUUUUUUUGGCUUACACAUGCAUCCCAAGCAACGCUUCCACCCCCUCAUUCCUUCAAUACCUCAUGUCUAUAAGAAUAUUCCGCACCUUUUAUCAAUCUCCUUCAUUACAGCUUUUGGGAGAAUGAAAACACCUGCACCAAUACACAUACAUACUCCUCAACACAGCAUUCAUUAACUGGAUCCUUCCAACAUAUGACAAGUCCUUUACUGCUCAGCUAGUGAUCCUUGCAGUAAUCUUUUCCACAAGCUUGUGACAAUGAUUUUUUGAGAUUGUAGUAUAUACCAAAGGUAAGGCCUAGAUAUUUGACCGAGAGGUUUCCUUCUCUAGAUCUUAAUGAUUGCAAAAUCUGCCUUUUGACUGAGCCUGAGCCUUCAACACAAGAGCAGUAAGCAACACUCUUCUUUCUUAUUAAUGUGCAAGUCGAAUACACAUUCAAAAUGCACAUUAGCAUUAGCCAACAAAAUAACAAAGGCAACAUUCCCAUGACUAAAUAUAAACAGAUCAUUUGCAAAACAUAAGUAAUUCAACCUUACAUCUUUACACCCUUCAAUGAAACUUAAAGGAGUUAGACACCUUCAAAGUUAAAUACCUUGAUAGGUACUCCAUUGCCACAAUGAAAAGCAAAGGGGAUAUUAGAUCCCUUUGCCUUAAACCUUUCCUCCCUGGAAAAAACUCUCCAUGUUACUAUCAACCAUUACGGUAUACCAUGGUGUUCUAAAACUUUGGGCCUACCGAUAACACAAAAUAAUACAUGCGACCAUGAUCAAAUUUCAAUGAAGAACAACACUUUUAAUGUCGGUUUGCAAAGUCUCAUAAUAAGAGAAUUCAAUUUAAUUGAAUUCCAUUUAUUGAAAUUCCAUAUUUAAAAAUGGCUAAAACUCGAUUUUUUAAAUUAAAAAUAAUCAUUUCUUUUUUUUUUUUGAAUUGGGGGUUGGGGGAUUCGAACCUGAGAUCUAUCAGGUUUACUCGGAUGCACUUACCACCAGACUUAAAAUAAAUUAAAUCGAAGAUGUACGUUUAUACAAAUAAAAUUCAUUUAAUACACCGAAUUAUAAGAAUAAAAUUCAUUUAAUACACCGAAUUAGAACUCUACAUAAAUAUUCAUAAACUUAAUAUUUAUAUUUAUUAGGAUCAAAUUAUACAUCAAACAAGUAAAAUUAAUUUUUUAAAUUUUUAUUAAAAACUCUAGAUGAAUAAAUGUGACAAUCCAUUUACAAUAACUUCAUAUUUAACAUACUUUCACUUAAAAAUAAAGUUUUAGAAGGAUGAUGAUCCUUGGUAACCCCUGUCAUUGUUACAUAAAUAAUAUUUAUUUCUUUAUUCUAAUAAAUCGUUUUACACAAUUAAUAUAAUUCAAUAUUCGUCCAAAGUAUAUAAUAUGUCAACCUAUGAUUGAAUCUUAUGGCAAAGUCCCUACAAUCAAAGUACUCUAAUGAUUAGACUUAACCACUUAUAACGUGCAGACAAGACUAAUCGAAUCGUAUAUAAAAUGUUUGGUUCGUUAAAGACUCGCCCUGUAGAGCUGGUCAAAGUGAAUUCAUGUAAUAUAUAUAAUUACAGAAUCUAUUAUUUACUAGUCGAUAUCCGUCGAACAUGUAGGAAAUCAUUAACUAAUCAUAUCUUAUUACAUUAUAAAAAUAAAACGAUCACAGAUUUCAAAACACAAAUUUUGUUACUCAAAUCUAUUUGCUCUAUCUUCAUUUUAGACUCGUUCAUUUGAAAGAUUAUUAAUUUGAACGUUGGAGUAUCUGCUUGUAAAUACCAAGUACUUCAUCUUUUCUUUUACAGAUUGCUAGAUCACAUAUAAAUUGUUUUGGACAUCUCAACAACGGAAUGCAAAUGAAUUCUAUUAUUUUAAAAAUUACUCCAAUACAAGAAUUUUCUUACAAACUCCUUUGAAUUAAUUAAUUAUAUAUAAAAAUAUAUAGAAUUGAUUCUAUCAUAAGAAUCACUCCAAAUGGGAUCGAAACAUUCAUAUAUAAUACCCACAUCAAUUACAAUAUCAACAUAAAAUGCACGCCUGAAACUCAUUAAUUUCCUUUAACCAUUUCAAAUACAACUUCCUAAAUUUUGUGUAGCCAUAAAUAGUUACAAGGAAAAUCCAUUUCUUCAAUGGUAUGUGAAUUUCUCAACAAGACAAAUAUAUAAAGAUGAUAAAAAGAUUCCUACCCAAUAGUAACCUUGGAAAGCUACACUUCUAUCCAAGAUAUCGAAGCAAAACUCCAUCAUUUCCUAGCACAAAUCCCCUUCUUUCAUCGAUAAACCUGCAAAACAAACAUCACGAAUCCUUUACAAACCAUUGGCUUGUGGUUUAAGACGUUUUUUUAACCAGCGAUGGACCUAUGCCCCAGGAAUUUUAGUUUUUAAAUGAGAUUAAAUUAAAUAUGAUUUUGUUUUUAAUAUACAGCUACAUUUAGCCCCUUGUUCUUUUAAAAAAGUCCAGAAAUUUGAUUUUUCUAAUGGUUUAACUAAAUAAAAUUUAAUGAGUUUAAAUUUAAUAAAUUAAAAUUAUAUUUUUAUUAAAUCUAAUUCUAGUAAAUUCGCCUCCCAAGUGUAAAUAUUGGGUUCAUUACUCUCUGUAACUUUGGAAAACUAUUCCCUUUCUCUUUAUUUUUUAAAAUUGCAACCUGUAUGAUAAUCUAUUUUUUACUUAGGAAAUUUCAAAUAUAUUUAGCAACCAAAAAUUUAAAUAAAAAAGAUUUAAUAUUGUUAUUUUCACUUAAAAAAUCUACUAACCUCCACAAUGCCAUCACUUUUUCUCUCCCUUCCUCUUUUUCCAACUACCCAUGAACAAAAUAUGGCUAAAAGAAAUCAACCAUUCAAUCCAAAAGACAUGCAUUUGUUAAAGUAUGGUGUGGAAGGGGACGAGCCAGUGAUCAUGACAGGCUGAGAAGAAGAAAGAAUGGAGAACGAAGUAGCAAAAUGUAAUCUAAUUAAAAUAAUAAUUUUUAUUCACUAAUAAAAUAUAUUUUAGCAAUAUAAGAAUGAUCGAUAGAAUUGAUAUAAAUGCAAUAGAUUUGGAUAAAAGAACUAAUAAUAGAGUAACAAUAGUGGAUUAUUAAUUUGUUAGCUGGCCACAUAAUUAAGCCAAACUUAAAUUGAUAAAAAAAUCUAAAAAAAAAAAUUAAGAAAACGCCUGAAGUUUUUUACUCUUUUUUUUAUUUGUUAAAUUUUUUUUAUGUUUAUUUGGCCAUUGAGAAAAUAAUAUAUGCCAACUUUUGAGAAGAUGAAACUUACUUGACUGAAUACAGAUUUGCAGCGAUAUUGUCAGCAGCUUUGUCACGAGUCCAUGAUUUACCACCAUUCGUGGUUCUUAAUAGAACUCCACUGCCCCCUGCUGCCCAAGCCUCUUCCUACAAAAUCAUAUCAUUCUGUAAGAAAUAUACACUACUCACCAUCAUGAAUUAUAGUCACUUUCAACUGUAGUUAAACUAAUAAAUUAUAGUCACCAUGAUAAACGACAGUCACUCUCUCAGUUCUGAGAAUCUCUCUUUUUGUAAAUGUGCAUCAAUAAUUUUAUUUUCUCAUAAUGCUUAACUUCCUAGAUACAUACUCAUAGCUUCAAGAGUAAUAACCCAAAAUCCAUUGAGAAGUUCUAUAAAUUGACAAUUCACACAUGCAUAAAAUUUACAAAAUAGAACAGUCUGUAGAAAUUUUCGUCAAAUUCUUUAUCCAUCAGUACUAAAUAUCAAAGCUUAAUAAAACCUUAUAAAUGUAAUUAUCAAUUUCAAUAAUGAAAUAAAAUGAAAAAGGAAAACCUAGAGAAUAAUAAUAAUGAAUGGAUAAGAAAAAAAGGAUAAAGUAAUUAAAUUUAUCAAAGCUGACUAAUGGUAGAGGGAAAGUAAUUGCAAAUAUGCGAGUACAACAAUAUUCUCCCUAAUUCUACAAAAGUUGUAAUUUGAGUUUUGAGAUCUUGAACUCUCAAGUAGAAGUGUGUGUAUAUAUAAGUAUAAGUAAUAAUGAUUUUUUAUUUUAUUUGGUUAAAUUAUUUAUUUGAUUAUAAGUUUGAAUUAGAAAAUGAGUCAAGAUAUUAUUAUCAAAAAAGAAAAAAAAACCUGGACUUGUACAUUAAAAACUAAAAAUUAGGUUGAGCAAAGGGAGCAGGAAAAAAAGAAAAAAAAUAAGUCGAGCUGAAUAGGUGUGAGUCCAAAAGGGAGAAAUCAUAAGAGGAUGGUAAGAGAACUUCCUUCACAGUGGCUCAUAAUACUGUAUUAAUGGCAAACUUGUUACCUUUGACCGGUACCCGACGUCAAGAAUGCCAAAACCACGACUUUGCACUGGAAUUUCUUCAAAAUCCUCUGAUAUCUAGAACAUGAAAUAUGAAUGUACUUCAAUAACAAGAAAGAAAAGAGUUAAAUAAAAAUGUGAUAAAAACCAGUAGAAAUCAAAUACAUUCAAGUCCAUGUUUCAGAAAGAAAGGAUGGUUUUCAUUUCCGAAAACAAAAUUUCUCUACCUUUUGCUGUUGGUAUUCUCAGAAAAAGAAAAAGGAAAAAAAAAGAUGCAUACCUCACUUCAGUUAUUUUGUAUAUUAUUUUUUGAGAUCAUUUGAAAUGAUUGUUCAGUAAUUUCCUACUCUUUAUCCAUGAAAUUUUGGUAAAAGUGCAUUUAAUGGUGAGAACUUGUAAAAAUAUUAUUGUGAUCAAAGAAAAGACCUCCACAAAUUAAUUUACUUACUCCAGCGCCUUUACUAAGAUAAAGUCCCCCUCCACGAACAAGAAGCCAAAGACCACCAUCAGCUCUCCAUCCCAUGUUCUGAAUCCUUCUUGCAACUGCUCUAUUAUGUGGCUGCCAGAAUGGCUGCAAAUAGUGCAAAGCAAUGAAUCCAAGUUGAUAGUAGAACACUUAAAAUAUUUGAUUGGCAGAGAUUACUAUACACCAUACUAAUUUCAUAACAAAUACCAACAGGUACAUGGUCCUUUAUUUCGUUCCAUAAAAUGAAAAUUUUUUGGCAGGUCAAUAUUUCUUGAUAAUAAAUAAACUGGAAUGAAGAAGCACAAAAACAAUACCUGCAAGGUCGAAUAGCUUCUAGCACACAAGAAAGUGAGAAAGUGACAAGGAAUUCAAAGAAAAACGAAAGGAAGAGAAAAAAAAAAAAAAGACUUAGAUUCUGUACAAUGUUAUGCUUCAGGAUGUCAAAAUUUUACUGAUAAUUUUACAUUGUGAGACAAUCUGGUUAAGAAUGAGGAACAGGAUUCCAGUAACGGCCAGCUAACUUGAAACUUCCAUAGCUGGUGGACUCUCUCGCUGAAAUAGAAUAAUCUCAUCAGUCGUGGCAAAACCUUAUUUAAUUAUAUAUUCUCACUCAUAAUUAAUAAAGAGAUGGUAUAAAGAAUCUCAAUGCAUCCACCAGAAAAAGGCACUGAAGAACAUGGCAUUGAAGGCUUUCCAUUGGAAACUCCAAUCCUUCUCAUGCCUAUUCUUCUCAUACUACAAUCUGCAGUAAGUUGCGGCAGUAGUAUUCAGCAUAGAAUUCCAUUACUAUGCUUGAGUAUCCUCUAGUAUUUUCCAACUUCUACAAUACUGAAGUAGGCAUAAGCCACCCACCACAAACUAUUACCAAUUCUCAUGUUCCUUACAACUGAAAAACGAAAGCACAGAUUAUCCUGUCCAUUGACUGAAAGGACUAGUCAGUUGUUAUUACCAUCCACCAUAAAACCACAAGAAAUUAUUUUUCUAUAGACUGUUUACUAUCAAAUGUUUGCUUCAAGUUCCUGAAAUAAAAAUUAAACCUCACAUCUCAUACUAGUAGAGACCUACAACAUAAUCUUAUCUUCAACUUCCGCUCUCAUCCUUCCUAAAUAAAACAAACUUAGAAAAUGGAUAUCAAUUCCCAAAAAUGCAACAGGGAGAAAACCUAGGAUUCCAAGAAAAUAUUCCCAUUCCUCCAAAUGAAAUCAGCCAUUAAUCUUAGCAAUUAGGGGUCAAAAACCCUUAAAUGAGCUCCCUUUAGGCCAACCAAAAAAAGUCCUCCCAGUGUAAAAGGCUUUCAGCAUUGCAGGCGACCUCCAGUCACAAUUGAGGAAGAGCAACCUUACCAUCCCACCAAGGCUUACUCUCAGUGUUGGAUCAAAUGCAUGCCAAGUAAACUUUUUCAACAGUGUAUUACCAAUAAAAGUAACAAGGAUAACCUAUUAAGUGCCCAAGUCCAACGGUAUCCACCCUAAUUCCUUCUGAUUCUGCCAAUGUGCACUGCUCACGUUGCACUCUUUGCAAAUAGUUCUUUAAUCUAUUCUAUAUUUCCAUUAUAUUAAAAUAAUGACAAUCAAAAGAUUGUGGUGUUAUCCUCAAAUUUAAGUUCAUUAUCUAAGAGAACCAUUAAGUUCACACACGAAAGGCUACUCUUGCAAAGUUGCAAAGGGAAGUGUAAAAACUACUUUUAUAGGGAAAUUAGGGAAUAAGGAAUGAGUUUCAUGCUAAGCACUUCAAACCUGAAUAUGAAAAACCAGCUGGUCUCCAUGCAACAGUCAUAUCUGCUCUGAACAACAAUGCAGUAGAAGCAUUGGCUUUUUUAAUUACUCUCCAAUUUCCAAAAUAUACUGUGUCUGCCGUAGUCAUGAUUAUUUUUUCAUGUGAGCAGGAGAAGGAAAAAUAUUAAUGCCCAUCAGUUGUACCUUCAGUCAUUCGAAAUAAAUACUCAACAUUUGAAUCUAUCUUUUUGCAUUUUACUUUCUUUUCCUUCUUAUGGUGAAAAUGAUUGAGCUGUCUACUGUUUUUAAGAUCCAUAAAAAAUUCUCACCUAAUUGUAUUAAAACUGUAUAUUCAGAAAUCAUUAACCUACAUUACAAGAUAUGAUUUUCAAGGCAUAUUCAAUAAUUUAGACUACAAAAUUUCCUUGUUAACAUUAGAAGGAAGAAGUGAUGUAGAAUCACAAACAACACUCAAAGGGGAAAAGGAAUAAACUCUCCAAUUCUAUUAAUUCUCAGUUGUCAAUAUCAGUAAUAAUAAAUUCUCUAGAAAAAUACCUAAUCCAUUAAGUUACAUAGGUAUAUAUAUAGAUUAAUAUUAAUUUUACAACUACUACCACUAAGAUUAGGAAUCCCAAAAUAGGAAAACACUAUUACUAAUUAGGAAAUACUAACCUUACGUUUGGCAUUAUUCAUUUUGCAAGAAAAUAAUUUAAAUGAAUUCUUGCAAAAUCAUGCAAGUUUUUCAACUUCUUUUAAAAUUAAAAUUCUUUAAGUUAAAAGAAUAAAAUUCUUUUAUUUCAAAUAAGAGAAUUGUUAGAAAACAAAUUAAUUGAGUUGAAUUUUAAAUUCCAAACGGAGGGUAAGUCUAAUAGAACUUGUUAAAUUUUCUUAAUAGUAAUAGAAUCCCUAAAUAUAAAAACCAAAACUUCCUAAUUGAACUAUGAAAUCUUAAUUAAGGUUUUAAUUUCACAAUUAAAAGUUGCAUGUCCUACAUCGAUUGUUUACCCAAAAAUUAAUGGGUUUAUAAAUAGAUAAGGUCAGUUUGGGUUAACCAUUUGGGCCAAGUGCCAAGUGAAAAUUGGACUCCAAAAUUAUUUGGAUUUGUUUGGACCGAACUAUUACAAUUAGUACUAGAGCUACCCAAGUAAGAAAAUUGUGCAGAGCUUUGUGAGGAAAGGGCGGGCUACCCGUGUGAGACAAGGUCGCAAAAUUGAGUGGGGGAGAUUAUAGUGUCCCAUAUUCAUUAGUAUCUCACGUUGAUUGUUUACAGAUUAUAGUGUCCCAUAUUCAUUAGUAUCCCACGUUGAUUGUUUACAGGAAAAUUGAUAGAUUUAUAAAUUGUUAGCAAAAACUAUUAAGUAACUUGGGUUAACCAUUUUGAACCAAGUAAAAACUGAGCUCUAAAGUUAUUUGGGUCAGUUAUGGCCGAGCUAUUACCAAAGUUAACUCAAAAUAAUCCCUAAAUCUGUAAUUUCUCAAGUCCAUCAAAAAGAGAUGCAACAUUUGGAAGAGGGCAAGGCACGUGCCUAAAGAAAACAACCCUCGCUGCUCACUAUGAGAAUGGCACUAGAUAUGUAUGAAAAAGGAUGGGUGUGGGCAGUGGCUGGAGGAAAAGCAAAAGGGCACACACACACGUCAUAUGUGUCACACAGCCAGUAUUAUUGGAACAAAUAACCUCUUUGAUAUCUGUCUUGAGUCAUUCAGAACAUAACCUUUUGGUCAUCUGUAGUUUUUGAUACGUAACAUGGAAAGGAAUUUUUUUUUCAAAACGAGGACAGAGGGAAAAGGCAGCACACAUCAAACCUCAGUACAAAUAUGCAAUCAAAUUCAUCAAUUUGCUACAUCUGGAGCAGCCUCAUUUUAAGCUAUUGUCAGCAUAUAAAUUGGUAGUUAUCAUCAGAAAUCUGCAAUUGUAUUUAUCAAAUGAGGACUUUUUUCUUUUUUCUUUGAAAAAGAAAAUGUAAAAGAUGUCUAAUUUAUCAAAUGAGAAGUUCUUUUUCUUUUGUUUUUUAAUGACAAAGUAAAAGAUGCCUAAACCCCAUCUUUAAAAAAUGACAUGCACUAUCUCCCCCAUGCAAUAUGCAACCAAAUUCACCAACUUAUUAUUUUGAGAGCAACCUAUCGUCUAAAUAAGCACUAAAAUAAAUUGCCAGUCAUUACUAUUACUAGAUAUCUUGGAUUCAAAAUUUUCAACGGUACAUCGAAAAGGAUAUUUGCAGUAUGACCCACAUGAGGAGGUUCAGAGCAAACACAUCCCAUCAAAGGGAAAGAGCAACUCACCUGUCCUGGUUCCCAAGUCAAAUAGAAGUUACCACGGCUUGAUACAGCAACAUAGUUUCCAUCUGGAGAGCGAUUCACAGUAUUAAAUGUGCCUGUAUAGUAACUUGCACCGCUAAUACCACUAGAAACUGUUCUGCAACAACAAUGAAGCUAAGUUAACAUCUAGCAUGUUAAGGAUUAAAAGUCUUUGAAUUAAGAGAUCUCACUGCAUUUCAACUCAGGUAAAUUUGAUAGAAUGCUUAAGCUUACAAAAAAACAAAAGCAUACAGAUAUACAAAUGAAAAUUUUCACAGGUUCAGAAAUCGGUAAUGUAAAAGCAGAGGUUCUUGGCAUAUGCAAGCGUUGAUAAAAGCGAGAAAAAUAAACAAUUAAUCAUAAGAUACGACUGUAAAUAGGACGAAUGGUAGAACAAGCAUUGAUAUGAGAAACCACUAACAAUAGGUGUUUAACUUGUUCACCUACAAAUGCAACGACUUCAAAGAACAUAGCAGAUAUAAUAGCAUUUUGGCAGGAGCACACCUACCUAUUAAGAGUUGCCGAAACCGUUUCCUGAACUGCAGCCCUCCAGUUAUAACCCCCAUUUGAUGUGAUAUAUAUUGCUCCUUCGUCAGUCACCAUCUCUGCACUUUUUUCUCCAGUUGCUUUUAUAUAUACCUAUAAAUAUUGUAACAGAACAAAGAAGGGUAACCUUUGUGCAUCAAAUAUCUCAAAAGUAGAAAAAAGGGAUAAGCUCACCAUAUCUCCGGGAAGCUGAGCACUGAGAGGUAUUCUCUGCCAGGUUUCUCCAGCGUCCGAGGUGUACAGCAAAAUGGCUGGUUUUCCAACAAUCCAUCCUUCCUUUCCUUUGAAGCUAAUAGAAUUGAAUCUAUAGUUGAAAUCCUCAUCUUCAGCUGAUGAUAUUGAACGCGAAACCCAAGUGUUUCCACCAUCUUUAGUCUCCAAAAUGGUUUGCCUGGUCCCCAGCAGGAAACCUACAUAUCGGAAAAAUUCCCAUAAUUUUCCAGUACUUUCUGGGGAAUAUUAAACGGAAAAGAGACGGAAGAAAGUAACCAUGGUUCAAUUCAUCGGGGACGAAGGCGAUGUCGAGGAGGACGACACCAGGAUCGAUGGGGAGGUAGACUCUUUCCCACUCGGACAGGGUCUCUUCAGCAUUGGCUGGUUGGGGAAUAAGAGGAGCAAACAAGGGAAGUGAUACGGUGGCUGCUUGGGAUAAGAAAUGCCUGCGAUUGAAGUGGUGGUGGUGGUGGUGGAGAGAGGCCCUGGGCGCUAAGCGAGAGAAGUGUGGUCUCUUAAAGCAAAGAAUCUUCGCUGUGAACGCAGAGGUUGAAGAGGCCAUUGUAGCAGGAUUAUGCUCCGUCGACACCACAGUCUCUCUCUCUCUCUCUCUCUCUCUCUCUCUCUCUCUAUCUUCCUCUCUCUCUUAUCCGAAGGUAGUUAUCAUCAACUGCUACGCGGGCGUUUUCAAGCGUCUCAAUAUUCCAACGUGGAUAUGUCAUAUUAUUUUAUUAUUUCUAUUUUACGGUGUGCCACUUGUAAUGCAGUAUAUACAAGUAAUGAAUCUGACUUACAUUUAAUGAUCUAAAAGCCUUUCUCAAAGGUCAAUUGGAGACUUACCAGAUCGAUUGUUCCUCCCAUGCAGUAGGAGCAUAAUACUAAAUCUUUCUAACAUCUAGCAACUAUAGAUUUAAAUUUGUCUCUGGCUAACACAGCUAUAGCUACUGGUAUCGAAGUGUUCUUUCCUUCCGCAUCACAAUUAAAUUUAUAACCUCUAGUGAGAGAGCAGACCUUGCCAUAACUAACCCUAUUGAUCAAGAGCUAUCUUUGUGCGUAGAAGAAGCGAGAUUUCCACAUUUUUGCAAUAGAGUAAAAUCAACUAAGAUAUGCCUGAAAGUUUUAAGUGGAUUAGGAAUUGCUGCUUUAAAAAACUCGUUUAUUUCUUUCUUUUCAAAUAUACUAUAAAGUGAGAGUGACCAAGGUCAUAGUAUGAUGUGGAUCACCAACUAUACAAAAACUAUCCCACACUUCUCCCACCAAGAAAAAAAACUCAGAAAACCCAUUAGAUUAAGCUUAUAACUACACGGACUAAGAGACCAAGUAGCAUCAACAUGCUGGCACUAGAAUAAAACAUGCUCUGAAAUCUCUAGGUGUUGAUGACAUAAAGGAUGGAGAGGAAUAGGCAGCAUACCUCGAUGUAAAUUGGAUAACGCAAGUAAAACAUUGUGAAUCAUGUACUAAAGUAAAAACUAAAGCUUCAGGGGUACUGAAACAGACAAAAGAAGCUUCCAUAUCCUAAGAGAAACACUAGACAAAGAGGAUGGGCCAAGAAAUUCAUAAUUUGUAGCCGAAAUAAAAAUUGAUAACCUAACUUACCAUGUAUUAUUUGUGUUUUUCAAAAUGCUAAAUUAAAGAAUUUGGUGUAUUCCAAUGUGCUACAAAAUCGAGAAAAUAGCUUGAGCUUGAGUAGAACUAAACCUUUGCAGCACAAGCUGAUGCCUCCAUUCUAAAGUCGUGGGAUCAAUAAGAUCUACCACCGUAUUAAGAUGGAUUGGUGAUAAAACCAGGUCAUGAAAGAGAAAAUCUUUUUAAUUGAGGAAUCCAUGGAUCUAACCAAAUUAGGGUACUGCUACCAUCAUUAAUAAUCAUGUGUACACCCAAUUGAAGUUUCAGCUAAAAGCUCUGCCAAAACCGUGAACUCCGUUGUUUUAUUAUAGCUUGCCAGAAGCAGGUAUGUUGGUGUUAGAGUAUAAAUAUAAUUGUACAUAAUUAAAUGAGAUAACAUAAUCAUAGACUAAUUGAUUGAUAAAGGAUUUUUAGGAGUUGUCUUAAUAAAGUCUUGUAAUCUGUAUUUAUACACACUUACUUCAAUAUAGAAAACACACUAAAAUUAUCCAAUUAUUUCUUAUCUUAUUACAUGGUAUUACAGCCUUUGAUCUAAUUUUUUGGUGUCUGUUUUCUUUGAUUUCACGGGUUGAGAAACUGGUUGUUGGGUCAUCAUGUUUGGGUGUCCGUUUGGUCUCACCGCCGGCACAGGGAGAGGCGCAGGAUCAUUUCCAGUCGUUUCUCAGAAAACGAUGACCGUAGCUUCUGCAAGUGGUGCUCACGCCCCAAUCCAAGUUUUCACCCCAAUUUCACGCAACGGCGUGUGGGAGCAUGUGUGGUGUUCGUUUGACUUCUGAUUUUCUCCCUGACGGUCGCCCGGUCAUUUUCAGCAUGUCUUUGGUGGAACUCCAGUCAUACGAAAUUGAUUGGAAAGUGUUCUUCAGUGGUAGCCUACUAUUCACUGGGUUACUAUUCAUGGGGUUAAGUUCUGUUGUCUUCUUUUAAUUCGUUUGAAGAUAUAGGAGUAUAGGGUUUUGGUUAAAAUAGUUUUUGACAGUAAGACUCAUAUUAUUAAAAUUAUCUCAACGUCUCCAGUAAUGGCUGAGACAAGUAAAACUUGUUUUAUUUUCUCUUCAUAUAAAUAGGUCAUUGAUCCUGGUACCACGGAUCACAUGACAUGUAAUCCUUAUAUUUUUACAAGCUUUCGAUCUCAUAAAACACCUUCUCCUGUUACUAUAGCUGAUGGGUCAACCUACAAUGUUGAGGGUCCUGAAACUGUUAAACCUACUUCUUUUAUUGUCCUAUUAUUUGUGCUAAGUUUACCUAAUCUUGCCUUUAAUUUAAUCUCUGUGAGUAAACUUACCAAAGACCUAAAUUGUUAUAUUUCCUUUUUUUCUGAUCAUUGUGUCAUUCAAGAUCUUGUGACGAAGCAGAUUAUUGAUAAAGAACAUGUAUUUGGGGGUCUCCACAUUUUGGAUGCAUGGGUGCAUCGGUCUGUUUCCUGCUCCAGUGUUGUGUCUCCAUUCGAAACAUAUUGUCGGUUGGAACAUCCUUCUUUAUCGGUUUUGAAAAAGCUAUACCCUUAAUUUCAUGAUGUAUCUUCACUGGAAUGUGAGUCAUGUCAUUUUGAAAAAUAUCAUUGAAGCUCUUUAAGUCCUAGAGUUAAUAAAUAAGUUGAGUAUGCUUUUGAAUUAGUUCAUUCAAAUGUUUGGGGCUCAUGUUUAGUUGGAUCUAAGACUAAAUUCAGAUAUUUUAUCACUUUUAUGGAUGAUUACUCUAGAAUGACUUGGAUUUAUUUUAUGAAGCAUCGUUUGGAAGUGGUUUCUCAUUUUUCUGCCUUUUGUGCUUAAAUCAAAACUCAAUUUAAUGUUUCUGUGCAAAUUUUACAAAGCGACAAUGCUAAAGAAUAUAUGUCAGAAUUAUUCCAGGCUUAUAUGACUCAACAUGAUAUUCUUCACCAAUCAUCAUGUGUUGAUACACCUGCUUAAAAUGGAGUAGCUGAAAGGAAGAAUCGACAUCUCCUUAAGAUUGCUCGAGCUUUGUUGUUUCAAAUGCAAGUUUCUAAGCAAUUUUGGGCUGAUGUUGUCUCUACUACAUACUUUCUCAUUAAUCGCGUGUCCUCCACAGUAUUAAACGGUAAUACUCCUUAUAAUGUCCUCUUUCCUAAGAAACUAUUGUUUCUUGUAGAACUAUGACUUUUUUGCAGCACUUGUUAUGUUCGGGAUGUCAGACCUCAUGUUAUUAAACUUGAUCCUAAAGCUUUGAAGUGUAUUUUUUUUGGGAUAUUCUUGCCUUCAGAAGGGGUAUCGGUGUUACUUUCCAUACCUCAACAAAUAUCUAGUCUCAACAGAUGUAACCUCUUCCUAGAAAAUUUUUUUUAUCUUGUUGCACAAACCUCUACUGGUCAAGAGGAGAACGAUAAGUGGCUCAUCUAUAGAAUCAUAUCUGAUGGAGGGAACUCUUCGAGUAUGCCUUAUGUUGUACAAUCUGAUGAUAACAUUCCUCCUAGUACUCAACCUCAUAUUAAACCAUCAGUUGUUCAAGUUUACUCUUAGAGACCAGUACCUGAUGAUAUAUGUGCUGCACUAGAAUUUUCAUCGUCAUCGGAUCCACCACCAAGUGACCUUGACCUCCCCAUUAGUUUUCAUAAAUGUAAACAAGAGUGUAAGUCUACAUAUUUUAUCACUAACUUUCUGUCUUAUGAUCACUUGUCUCAUUCUUCUAUCUUUUUAAUUGUCUCUCUAGAUUUCAUUUCUUUGCCUAAGACAGUUAAAGAGGCCCUGACCCAUUCUGGAUGGCGUAGUGCAAUGUUUGAGGAGAUUAAGGCUUUAAAUAAAAAUCAUACUUGAAAACUAGUUGAUUUACCCUCUAGCAAGAAGGCUGUGGGCUGUAAAUGGAUUUUUGCCAUCAAAAUGAAUCUAGAUGGUUCUGUAGCAAGGCUUAAGGCCCGUCUUGUCGCCAAAAGUUAUGCACAGAACUAUGGCAUUGACUAUUCUGACACUUUUUCUUCUGUGGGAAAAAUAACCUCAGUUCGCUUAUUCAUCUCCCUAGCUGAUUCUCAGCAUUGGCCUUUACACUAGUUAGAUAUCAAGAAUGCAUUUUUACAUGGCGACCUCCAAGAGGAGGUGUAUAUGGAGCAACCACCAGGGUUUGUUGCUCGGAGAGAGUAUAGAAAAGUAUGCCUUUUAAAAAAAUCUUUGUAUGGUUUGAAGCAGAGUUCCUAUGCAUAAUUUGGUAAGUUUAGUGAAAUUGUUCAAAAAUUUAGAUUGAAAAAAAGCAAGUGUGACCAUUCAGUUUUCUAUAGAAAUUCAAAUACUGGUAUUAUUCUCCUUGUUGUGUAUGUUGAUGACAUUGUUAUAAUAGGAAAUGAUAGUACAGGGAUCUCUUCUCUUAAAAAUACUUGCAUGCGAGUUUUCAUACCAAAAACUUGGGUCAACUUAAGUAUUUUUUGGGAGUUCGAAGUCUUGAGGAGUAAAAAGGAAAAUUUUCAUGUCUUAAAGGAAGUAUAUCCUUGACUUACUUGCAGAAACUGGGAAGAUGGGAGCUAAACCUGUUAGUGUAUUUGCCCUAGGCCAUUAUCUUGAACCUUUUUGUAUGUCAUUUUGGUUAUUAAUUAAAAGAGGUUUUAUUAUCAUUAUUAUUUGUUUGCAUGUUACAUAAUAAUGAUUAUCAUUCCUGGUUACUUAUUAUUAUGUUGAUAAUAAUAAAAUAUAACUAGUAUGAUUAUUGAUUGAUAAUCAUGAGAUGAUUAUGUAUAUGUUGAUAUAAUUCAAUAAUCAUAAAUACUUAUUAGAUAACAAAGUAUUGGAUGGACUCGCAUUGAGAUCACUAUAUGAGUUAUUGUCAUAAAUGAAUCUCAAAGUAGUUAUGUCUUAAUCCUUUGACUUGAGAUUAUCAUUGUUUCCAACAUAAAGACUGUUAUGUUUUGACAUAACCAAACAUUGUCUUUAAUCGGACAAUCAUAAAAGUUAUGAUUGAGCAUAAUAGAAAUUAUAUAGAGAAUAUUGAACAAUCAAGAUAGAAUUUGUCCCUUUCUUUGAGAGAGAUAUCUUCUAGACCCCUCGAUAAGUGAGACUGAGAAAUGCAUAGCCGUGCUCAAAUGAAUUGAUAGUGUGAUCAAUAUCAUUUGAUUUUAUCAGUAUACUUAGAGAUCGAGAAAUCAUAAGUUUGAACAUUAUAAUUUUGACAUUGACCAUGACUUAUGUUCAAACUAGAUAUCGUGUGACAAAAGGAUUAAUACAUAUUCUAUUUAUUAGGUUUUAUCGGACUAUCGAUCCUCAUAUUAGUUGGUGAUGUUCUAUGAUCCAAAGAAUAUGGUUUACAGUAGUUGUUUAAGCUUGUCCGGUGAGGAGGGUGUUCCUCUCUUUUUAUUCCUUCUCUUUCGUCUGCUAGUGACGCCUAACGGCCUCUCUGCUACAGUGUCACCUGCCUCUGUCAUGCAGGUCCAUACGUAUGGGGUUGUCAGACAUCCUCUCCAUGCCAGACGGCUAUUUAAUUCCCUCCGGCGCACGUGCAGGCAGGGCUGCGAGGUGACUAGGCCUGCUGUCCUUCCUCAUGCCACAUCACCGGGCUAAGCUUCUUCUCGAGGGACCUGGGCUUGUGAGUGAUCAGGUCUGCUUUAUGGGUCUAAAUCAGGGCUGAAGAUAUCGGACCGGUCCAUCAGGGAGGCUACAUGGGCUUUGGGCCAGUAUUGCCUUCAUGGGCCCGGCCUCAUACUAAGACGUGUGAAGCCCGGCGGUCAUCAGUUGGGUAGUCAUAAUGUCUUGCUAGAGGCCGCUUAUGAUUUAUGGGUCUUGUGGGACUGAGGCUAUUGCCAUUUAAUGUGAGCCCAAUGGGUCACACACAAAAGAACGUUGUUGAUGUGUUAUAUUAAUAGGCUAAAAACCCAUUAGUAUAAUUAAUAAUAAUAAAGAUGUUAUUAUUAUUAAUAUUAAUUAUUAUUAUAAGAUAAUAAUAUUUAAAAGAUCUACAGUUUAUCUGUAACUGUUACAGAUAAAAGAUUUUCAGUUUUCCUUAUCAAAAUAAACUGUCACGUAAGAUAUUUGAGUAUCUGCGAGAUUGUGAUAGUGGGUGAUAAACACAACUCUUUUGCUAAAAGAAUUGUGGGAAAACAAAAAGACUUUAAAACGUAUAAAACUCCUGCUUCGAAUUGUGGGGGUAAAGUUUUUGGAGAAAUUGUUUUGAGCUAUAGAUUGAGAGAGCACAUAGCUUAUCCAUCUUUGAGAGAGCUAGCACUCUAGAAGAAUAAAAGACGUUCGUGUAGAUACCAUUGAGGGUAUUCGUUUCAAAAGCAACACCUUGAGUCUGAAAUUUUAUCUUCUUGUCGAGUCUAACAGGUUAGUCUCGUAUCCUUCUUUUUGAAAUAAACGAAGCACUUGGAUCCUGGGAGAGAAAUAGAGAUUUUUUUAUUUUUCGCUACAUGUUUUGAGUUACAGUAAUCUCUUGGUUUCCUAACAAAACCCUGUAGCACACCAAUGAUUCCUAAUAUAUGUCUCACAAAGAAUGACAGUGACUUUUAUGAUGAUCUAGAGUGAUACAGGAGGUUGGUUGAAAAGUUGAACUACCUUAUGGUGAUGACUUGGUCAAAUAUUGCUUUUGCAGUAAGCAUUGUAAGCCAUUUCAUGUCUACACCUACGGUGAAAUAUUAGGCCGCUCUAGAAUAAAUUCUAUAUUAUCUAAAAGGGACCCUUGGACUCGGUAUACUCUACAGUGAUCAUGGACAUACUGCACUUGAGUGUUUUUCUGAUAUUGAUUAGGCAGGAUCCAAAAGUAAUAGAAGGUCAACUACAAGCUAUUGUGUAUUUGUUGGAGGGAACCUAAUAUCUUGGAAAAGUAAGAAGCAAAAUGUAAUAUUCAAAUCUAGUGCCAAGUCAAAAUACAAGGUCAUGACUCAAUCCACUUGUGAGAUUCUGUGGAUAAAUCAUCUGCUGAAAGAAGUUAGUAUGAAUGUUGCGUCACCCGCAAAACUUUGGUGUGAUAAUCAGACUGCUCUUCACAUUACUUUUAAUCCAGAACACCACAAACGGACUAAGCAUAUUGAAGUUGAUUGUCAGUUCAUCCGUGAGAAGAUUCAAGAAAAUUUAAUCUCCACCAAUUAUGUGAAGACAGGAGAGCAAUUGGGUGAUCUGCUCACUAAACCUUUAAAUGGGCCUCAAAUAGAAUAUCCUUUUAAUAUGUUGGACAUGAUAAAUAUCUAUACUCUGAUUUGAGGGAAAGUGUUAGAGUGUGAAUAUAAUAUAUACAUAAUUAAAAGAGAUUACAUAAUUAUAACCUAAUUGAUUGAUGAUUCUUAGGAGUUGCCUUAAUAAGACAUUGUAAUCUGUAUAUACACACACUUACUUCAAUAGAGAAAGCAUACUGAAAUUGCUCAAUUAUUUCUUAUCUUGUUACAUGUGAAAAAUACAAAUCUCCUUUCCCAUAAGUUAGAAGGUUUAAAGGAAGUCUCUAAAAUUGCUUUGUCUGGCAGGCUAAAUUAAAAUUUUCAAAAUCCUUAAAAUCAAGACUUCCUCUAAAUUUAAAUUAAACGAGCAUUGCCAACUAACCCACAUUAUUGCUAUCCUACCAACAUUUAGAUUUUAAAUUAUUUAAUUUGACACAAAACUGUUUAGGAUAAUUGAUGUAGUGAUAAUUUAGAUUGAUUAUUUACAUAUUUUUAUAAUUACAUUCAUUUAAUUUUAUUAUUAUUUUUUAUUUAUUAUAUAUUUACGUUUAGUUAUAGAAUUUUUAAUUUUAUGUUUGUAAUUAGUAUUUUUCUUUAUUUUUAUCAUUUUUAUAGUUUAAAAUUAAUUAAGGCAUGAAUUAGAUACGCUCUGAGGAAAUUUGGACAUUUUCGGAGCACUUUUAUGAGAAAAAGAAAAGACCAAGGAGCAAAUCCGUGUGAUUGAUGUCUGCACCAUAUUUUGGCACUUUACUCCAUAUUUUAAUGAUUAUAAUACUAAAAAAAUAUAUAUAAACAAAAGAAAAUAUGAGGCAGUCCAUCGAUACCACAUGUUUUCACUUUUCGGCAUAAAUUAAGAGAAACAUGCGCACUUCAAUCUGUAUUUUUAUAAAAAACUUAGUAUUUUAAGUCUACCCCUAGGGCAAGAACAGAGGUGUUUAAAAAAUAUAAAUACUUAGAUACCUAAAAGGCAGGAUAUGCGCAUUUAAAAUUUUUAUUUUUCUCCCCUACUCCUUUAUUUUUUUUUAAUUAUUUUUAAAAAAAAUUUCAAUGAAAUUUAUUUUUAAAACUUUUAUCAUGAAUAGCUAAAUUUCUUUAGUAGGAGAUUUAAUGUGGUUUGGAUUGAUUCAUUUAAUUUAUUUAAAUUGAUUUUUUUAUUUAAAUUAUUAUUAAUUUUUAAAAGUACUGUUUUUGAAUAUUUUUAUAUAUAAUUAAAUAAUUUUAUCUUAAAAAUUAAUAUUGAGAGAAACACUUUAAGAUUAAAUAAAAAAUUAAAUAUUAUACAAAUAGGAUUGAAAACGAUAAUUUUAUCUGUAGAGCCUUAAAAAAUAAUCAAGAGUGUCUAAGAGUUAAGCUUAUUUACCGAUGCAACCUGCCGUGUCUUUGACUUUUAGCCACAAUGCCCACAUGUCUGAAGCAACCACACAAUCGUCCAGAAUUUGCCAUCUCUAGUGUGGACCAAAACCUACGCAACCACCAGCUCCAAUCAGUGUUACUCAUUAUUAUUUUGCCUCCCAGCAAUGUCGAGCUUCCCCUUUUCCCUCUCCUUUCACCAGCGUCUGCCACCACAUCAACGCCCAUUAGCCCUUUUCUUUCUUAUCUCCACUUUUCAAUCUUUUUUUGGGUUGCAGUCAUUACACAGUCCCAGGUACCUCUCUUUUCUUUUUAAUACAUUUGAUUUGGUUGUUUUGAUUUGAUGAGGAUAAUUUUAGUUGAUGAUCUCCUUGUUAUGUGGAGUUUGAAAGUCUACCUUUUGAGCAGGUAUUAUAUAUAGAUGGACCGAAAAUUUACAAUUUAAUCAAUAUAUUAAUGGACCCUAUUUUUGUUUAACUAGAUUUUGCAAAGUAGUGGUUUGGGUAAUAGGAAUUGCAUUAUUCUCAAGUUUUGUAGCUUCAGUUUGGCUCGUCAUAUCUUCUAGUUUUUUUUAAACUUUGUUAUAUCUUCAUCCGUUUUAUUUUAUUUUAUGUAUUUUUCUUUUUGUAAGGUUACAGGAAUGGCUCCAAAGCAUAGACCUAAUGAUUAUUAGGCAACUUCCUCCCCCCAGACGGUGGACCCAAACAGUAGCAUAGUCUACACAGCGCCCACGCCGUGCUCCCAUACCAUCGCUUCCACCACCUCCACCAGCUCUUCCUUGGAGUUUUAAGGACCAACAGCAUCAGCUCAUACAGAUCAUCUAACUGACGUUGCAAAACUAGUACCUGAUCAGUAUUGCCACGAAAACAGUAUUAUGUCAAAUACUAAACUGGUAUCUAUAAAAUUCUAAUCUACGCAUAAAAGCAAACAUUGCAAAACACUGAAUAAAAAAAGACCAAGCCCUAUUUACAACACAAAAAACUGAGGGUGUAAAAUCCAUUUAGCUCCAAACUAUAAUAAAUGUUUAUGCCUAGAUUGGAGGAAAUCAAGUAGAAGAAUAAGUGGCCCAUGAUCAGAUUCUGACAGUAACUCAUGAAUAGGCUGUGACUUUGGAAAAUUAAAAUUAAAAUUACAUUAAAAUAAAUCAUUUUGUUGAAAAAAAAAUAUUAAAAAAAAUAUUUCCCUUACUUUUGGCAAACAAACGAAGCCUUAAGCCACCUUUUCAUGACCACCAGACCUAAUAAGAAUAAAUAUUAAAUAAACAUAAAUACGAAUAAAUUUUAAAAAGGAAAAGUUAAAAUAAAGAGAAAUGUAUAUAUAUUGAUAUACAUGAAAAAUUAUAAGGCUUAAAUAUGAAUUACUGUGCUUUAGCAAUUGCCCAUGGCUUGCAUACAAAACUCGCAAGUUUUCUCCGCAAUACAAAUUUUUCUGAUUUUCAAACACAGAGCUAACAACCAACCAAUCAAACAAAGCAGCAACUCUAUUUCAAUUAUAAUUUAAUUAUAUCUUGUACUGUUCCUUCUUCCCCACCACUUCUUUUUCACCCUGUCAAGCGCACCUUCUUCAUUUCCAAGUUUAUUCAGAAUCACCUUUGUUUCCCGUAAUCUCGAUCCGUAAUCCUUCUUCCAAGAUUCAAACAUCUGCUUCAACCUUCUCAGUUCUCGGUCUGGAUUCAAACUCGCUUCUACCUGACCCGAUUUUACUUCCACCAAGAACUUGGCAUCAUCACCGAACACUUGUGUUCUCUGCUCAAAUUCUUCAGCCAACCUGCUUAUCACACUCAACCCUGCACUCAUUGGUCUUGCGCUAUGACCAUUGCUUUCUUGACCCCUGUAGUUACUUGCAGUAUCCCAGCUGAAGUCCCUUUCGUCGCUUGCGUUCACAGAUGCAUCCGAGUUUCUCUCAGAAUCAUCAAUUGCAAGGCUCUUCUUUGCAAUUGAGAGACUGGAUUGCAGAGAUCUCAUCUGUUUUUGCCACACUUCUUCCAUGGACUUCAUUUUCAAUUCAUAUUCCGACCAACGACUCUCGUAUUGUUGGAGCCGUUGAUGGAGGAUAUCAUUCUCCUCUUCUUUCUCUCGGAGCCCAGCCUCAGCUUUCAGAACUCGUCGCUGUAACUCAGCAAGAAAUGAUGCUUUCACCACCACCUCGUCCGACUCAUUCCCCUGUAGCAUACCACUUUUGUUCAAAAUAUUCUAUGGAAGAUUAUGAAUAACAAAGACAAAGCAAACCAACAAAAGUCUACCAAAUUUAUCAAUAUUAGAUAUCUCCAAAGUGAGCAAUAAAACUCAGAAUUUGGACAAACAGGAGGUAGAAAAUGAAAUAAAUAAAUACUAAUCAUGAAACAGUCUGUUUGAUUGUCGGGACUGAUUAUCAAUAUAGUCCAGAAAACGAAUAAUAGAUAUCAAUUAUGAUCAAUAGAAACUGAACUAUUCUCUCUACUGGGGAAAAACACACAAUUCAAUAAAGAAUUUAAAAAUGAGCAGAAUGCACUAAUUUCCGAUAACAUGUGACCAGAGUCCGUAGAAUAAAAAUCAAAUGAUGAAAGUAAUAAUUUCAAAAUUGCCAUAAGUUAAAUGGCCAGAAUAUGAUUUAAAACCAGUGCUUUGAUGGAAGGACAUUACAAUUUUAGUAACAAUCUCCGAGAGAAAAAGAUAAAUGGUGAGGAAAUGAAAUCUGAAGCUAACAGCAAUGAUUUUGCUAAGCCCAGUGUUGGAUAACUAAAAAGGUCAAAUUGUGACAGUUGUGCAAACUUGUGUGGUACACUUGGAUAUACAUUUGUUUACCAAAGGUUCCAAUAUUUCAAAAUAAAAAAUAAAAUAGAAUAAAAAGUUUAAAAAGAAAAAUUAAAAAUUAAAGAAUGCUCGUAAAUGGACAUUAAUUUCAAUAUAAAUGGAAGUAUGAGCAAAAUAGUCUGUAAAUAUGUUAAGGAUACACAGAAUACAAAUAUUACCUUAGUGCCAGACGUCAAUAAUCCUAUAUUGCCUGAGCAUCUUCUAACCAGGAAUCCACGAACAACUGCAUCAUAGCAAAGGAGAACAAAUUUCCAGUAAACAUCUUGUAUAUUUUAACAAGAAGUUGGCAGUGGCUUGAAAUCUAACUGAAACUCGCGUAGUUUUAACUGUUUCUCUUAUUUGGUCUUCUAAAAGCUAUUUGCUCCAACUUCAUAUCCACUCAUAACGCAUGUCCUACUAUUCGUUGAAUUUCCAUUUCAUACAAGUACAGUGUAGUGACUAUGGGCGAAACCCACUAGACUAGAACAUUUGGAAGUCGAACCUAGAAAUUUGGCUUCAUUUACUUGUAUAUCAGUAAGAAGUUUGAAAUGUACCUGAUUGUAUUAUAAUUGAUGCUGCAUGGAUUUCCUCGUAUUUUUUCUGAGAAAGAGUGGUUUUUAUUCGCCUUUGUAUAACAACAGCAGCUCUAUGUCUCUGUAGCAUGACUGCAUAUUCCCUUCUGAUUUUCUCUCCGCGAACAACUGUGCACAAACAAAAGAGACAUCACAAGAAUUUUUCAUAUAUGUCGUCUCUCUAUAGAGAAUCUUAAUGAUAAUUCAGAACAAAUUAUAAGCUAUUAGGAAGAGAAUUACGUGACUGAAGAGUAGCAAUUCCUCUCUUAAGCUCUCUAAGGUAACGGCGAGCUUGGAGCCCUCUGAAACAGCUUUGAACACGUAAAAUACUGUGAAGGGUACGGUUCCUUGUAUCCUCAAGCACACCAAUCUGCAUGGAUUUCCUUGUCACUCUAUUUUGAGUAAAUAAUAAAGCAAAUCAACACGUCAAGUAUUCAAAAACAAACUUAGGUUUUGAGUUUUUAAAAUGGAGUGGAAAAGGAUGGGAAUAGAAUCAUGGUUUUAGAUAAAGACCAUUUUGUUGCAUAAAGACAGUUAAUUAUAGGUUUUUUGCCCUCCCGUUAUCAUGACACUCGUUAUUUAAAGGCAACUGAAAAUUUGUUCCUGUAACAGUCGUUACACUUACACCCUUUACUUAAUGGUAAUGACUGUUAUUUACUGUUAACAGUAAUGGUCCGUUACUCUACUUUUUUUUUUGAGCUAAAUGAUGGCCACAGAUCUUCCUCAUUCUUAUUUUCUAGUCUAGACAGUUUUAAACUAUUGUCAUUUGUCUCUCUUGAGCAAAGAUCAUCAACCAUCUUUCUAGUUCCAUACAUUUAUAUCUUGUAGAAAAGCUGAGUUAUUCAUUUUUAUUUUCGAUAUUGUUUGCUUUUUUGUAAAAGAAAAUUAUAUUUGAUACUAGUUCUUUUUUUUGUUAGACCGAUACUAUGAAGUAGUAUUCUUUACUAUCCACACAAUUAUUUUAUAUUCAAAUUAAUUAAUGCUACUUGUGUCUAAUAAUGAUGGGUUUAUUGUAUUUAUUCUUGACCAUCUACUUAUUUCAUUAACUUUGCAAAUUUUUUUAAAAUAAAUUUCCAUCGAGAUAGGCCAUUACUGUUACUCCACGAUAUUGAUCCUGUCUCCGUUACUUGCUACUACAACCACGAACAUGAUUUGAAACCAUGAUUUAGAUUCUGAAUGUAGUCUUUUUUUUUUUUUACAAUUUUAAGUUUUUUUACUCAACUUGAAAAUGUGUAAUAAUAACUAUUAUGGAAAAAAUAUUUUAAAACUAGUAUGACAUAAAUUCAACAAAUAAGUGAACCUAAUACAAUGGAGCAUAUCUAAGGACCCAUAAACCUCCAAGUUUUCAUGUUUUUCAACCUUGAUAAUGUUAACCAAGAUUGCAAAAUUUAGCUUGAAUUCUACCCCAUUCGCCCAAGUUGGUUAAAAUUGAUAUAAAACAAUAGUAGUUUAUCACUAAUCUGAACAAGACUAUUUUCAAUGUUUUUGCAUUUACUCUCCUCCUGCCUCCCUUCUCUCUUCCUCUUACCCAAUCAGCCAAAAUGUCACUUUCUUUGUAAAAAUAAGCACCAAUGGGUGCACAUCUUCUAUGCUCAUGUUUAAGAAUUAAAUAUUGCAUUAUCACUGUUAAGAUAAAAUUUCAAUAGUAAAAAAAAAUAAUAAUAAUAAUAAUAAUAAUUAUUAUUAUUAUUAUUAUCAUUUUCUUCAAUUUUGCCCAUUGUGUAUAACUAAACUAAUUGCAUAAUAUUAAGUAAAAUUGCCUAAACUAAAAGAUUUGAAUAAAAUUGAAAAAAAAAAGAAGUCAAUAGAUUGGGAUUGUUUUGGUUGUUUCACCAAUGCAAUAAGAUGUGAAUGGAAUAGCUAUUCUUCAUUCUAUGUUGAAGUUGCAUCACAUAUAUGUGUGUCCGUAUGCAUGUGGGUGCAUUAAGUAAUAAGUAUUGCACAUUUUAUAAUUCAAAUAAACAAAAAGCUAAAAGUGCAAAAUAAUUAUUCCAUGCAAUAGCAUCAUUUGAAAUUUAGCCUUCAAAUAUUUAUCAUAUGUCAUUCCACAAAGCAAAUGAAUCAAUAAGAUACUUCAAUAAAGAGACAUCAAAGUGAUCUAACAGUAAAUCCAUGAUAUUUAUACUAGGCAGAAGAAUUCUAACAUCCACAUAACAGGGUAAGGUAUGAAAUAUUCACUUUUUAUUGUAUGAAAAAGGAUAAUCAUCAAGGAUGGUCAUUAUCAAACUCAUGAACCAUAAGUGUUCAUGUAGUGGAAACAAAGAACCAAAAUUUACCAUUUUACUGAAGAAAAGACUCCAGAUGACCAGUGUAUACUUGCACACAAAAACAGAUACACAUGCAGAUGUACCUAGGUUGGUCAGAUGGAGGGGGUACUUGUUAACCAACCUAAACAUGUCAGUUUAGCAAAAUACGUAACUGAAACCAGGAUAAAAUUUUCCAAAACAACAUGUUUUCAGUUUCACAAAAGUUUCACAGGCUGGAUUCAGCAUGCAAAUAUCUAGCCAUUACCCUAAAUUGCCGACUCAAAGACCUUUUAACCAAAGACCAAGCCAAAAAGGAAGAACUACAUAUGCUGUCGAAAAAAAUAGCAAAACAAUAAAAACAGAGGAAUUCAUUGAUUAAAAAAAAUAAACAAACAAAAAAUCCACAAUCACUGAUUAAAAAUCAACAUAUCACAAGAUCAAUGAAAACGACAUGAUCUAGAAGAAGAGAAACUAUACAACUUGCAAUAACUGGAAAAGGAAAAUACAUCAUUUGCAGCCUUGAAUAAAUAAAUGUCUAACCACCUUUGAUAAAAAAUAUCAAUAUAUUAGUCUGUGCCUCUUUAUCAUUUAGUGGCUAAUUUGCACUUCCAUAAUUCAGGAUAUUCUGCCCAUCUUGGACUCAGGGUUUCAUUUAGAUGCAAAAAGAACCUUUUGAGGCGCAAUGAGAGAGAGAGAGAGAGAGAGACGUUUCACAUAUCAAAAUUGUGGAGAAAUUAGGGAUUAAAUCAUAUUCUCGGGUCAGGACGAAGAGAAGUGGGAUAGAGAUGAAGAAAAGAUGCAUUAAGUUGAUUUAUAAAUGAAUCUGUGGUCAACUUGGAAUUAUCUACUAUAAUACUAUUAACAGAUAAGAAUCAAUUUAUGCAUGCUCUCCAAAUGGUGAUUUUGAGUCAGCUUGGGUUUAUCUAUUAUCUUACAUGUCAACCCAAAAAUUACUACAAAGGCUGGUUUUAUCUUAAUUGCCAACCUGAAAUCAACUCAGUCUUUUAAUAAUUAAAAAAAGCCCCUUAUUUCAGUAUGAUUUUACUCUGUUUCAUAUGAACUUUUGGUUCUGCAGGUUGGCUGAAUGCCUAAAUGUAUACAGGCAAAAAUAUGCAUUUAAAUAUAUAAAUAGUUAAAUUCUCUAGAGAGUGCAAAAAAUCCUAAUUAUUUAUAUAUUAUCACCAAAUAUAUGAAUGUACAAAUGUGUUCAUGUGCAUACAUAAAUUCAGAUUAAUCAUUUCACCUGUCCAGUUCGGAAAAACAAUUUUGUAUAGCCAACUUGAUACAUCUCGGGCAAUAUAUUGAACUGGUGAAGAAUUGCAACUGAAACACUGAGUGGAUCCUGAGAUGCAACACUUUCCAGGAGAAGGAAACCAUAUCUGGUGAAAAAAUAAAAAUCACAUGUCAAACACCUCAAGUAAAAUAAAAUGCAGACCUUUUGGCAUACAAGUAUUUUCUGAAGCUGUCAAGAGAAUAUAAUAGAAAAUUCUUUACCUUUUGGCAAAUUUCUGGUGUGACAUUCUGGUAGGAAACCCAGACCUCGAUAUGCGAACUACCUCUAGGACUCCACAACAUCGCAGCUGCUGCAAAACUAGCCCUUGCUCAUAUGACCCAGGAGACUGAGAGUUAUUGGCCUUGAUACAGCGUAUGAAAUGCGGAGUGGUAUUCUCUAGCCGCUGCAUCAAUUGAAAAAGUUGACCCUAAACACCAAAAUAUCCAGUUAGUGAGAGCUAUACAACAGGAAAGGUUUUGGACUUCAUCUACCAUUUUUCUGAGUUCUCCUUUUUUCCAUUGAUGUCCCAAACACACCAAUAUUUGCAAGACAAAAUUCAGAGAUGUGUAGACAAAUGCAAAAUGCUUGACAAUCUUCUCUCUAAAAAGCCAGAUGCUUUUUAUUUAUAUCUGCCUCGAGUGCAAGAUAUUAGAGGUUCAAUAGUCAACACCCCCAAAACCUCCCAUGAACCAAAGAAAAAAGCAAGAUUCAUUUUAUUCAUGCAAACCUUUCACAUGCACAAGAUCAUACAAAUUAAGUUUUAAGCACAUAAUGUUGAUCCAAAAAUAUAAAACCUAAAAAUAAAAAAUAAAAACAUGGAAAAGCUCUCUAGCAAUUGGAUAAAAAUUCCAACGCAUUGAAGCAAAACAAAACAAUAUCAAACGAAUGGUAGGGAAUGAACCCUUAGGCGUGGCCUGUAUAAAAUCUUUUCUUUUUUUUUUUUUGUCCCUUUUGGUUGUUGAUUGCACCGAAAAUCUUUAUAAGGGGAGGAAAUUGCUAAGGUUUGACUCUAAACCUUCUCCACUAUGAGGUAGGCACUUAGCCUCUAGUAACAAAAUUGUGGCCCACAAGCAGUUGUAGAAAAAGUGUGUAUUGACCCCCCCUUACACAAGUAAUAUGAAUAUUGACAAUUUCAUUGUAUUGAUUAUUCCGUAUAAAUGCAAAAAGUAGCUCAUCCAUUGAAUAUUUCAUUGAACAUAUAGACCAUGUUCUUUUAUGUGCCUCAAUGUUUACUAUGCUUGCCAUGCUUGACAUGCUUGCUCAAACACAAUGCUCAUGCUGGCAAGCCUAUGUUAAUAUACUCUUGUUGCUGCACAAAUUAUUGUGAGAUUCUCUAGAUUGACUUUGCUUGAAAGCAUUCACUCCAAGUGUCACAUGAGCCCAAACAAGUGUUAAAGUCUUGCCUCGUGAUAUGGUAUGGGCAAACACUAGCCUAAACCUAGUGAUAGUUGCUUAAAAUGUUGUAUGUUUAUGAUUGAAAUCUAAUUAUUUGAUUCAUGAUGGUUAUGUUAUUAGAUAUUUAUAAGAGCACGUAAGAGAAGAUGGAGCAAAGAAUAGGUAAUUUAGCAUAUAAGGAAGCAAACACAUGGAGCAUGUGUGGUUCGAAUUUGAAGAGGACUUGGUCAACAACAAAAUGGGUCUAAAGGUGUCUUAUUCAAGGUAUUUAGAGGCUAAUGAUACAAUAUGAGCAUAUCUAGGCACCAAAGCAUGUUGGGCAAAAUUGAGGCUUCCAUGGGCAGCCUUGUUUAAGCUUAUUUGUGAUCAUCUAGUAUCUACAGGUUCAAUAUGACCUAAUAGGCUUAGAGGGGCCCUAUUUAACAUGUUUUUAAGGUGAUGUAUGAAGAAUUAGCAAAGAUGAACCUAAUUUAAACAGUGGGCCGCAUGUCUUGGUGAUCUGUAUUUUUUUUGGCUUCAAAGUUAUGAGUUAAGGUGGAAAGCAUGCGGGCCUUAUUUGAUGGGCUUGAAUGGAUUAUCUUGCAUUUAGAAUGAGUUUUAAGAAAGAGGGAAAAAAGUGACUAGGGUUUCCAAAAAGUGGUCUUUAUGCGUCGGUAGAUUUGGAGAGUUUUUAGCCAUAAGAGUCCUACCUUAUCCAAGUUUGUUGCAGAAAUCAGUUCUAUUAAUAAACAGACUUCUAAAUCAGAUCUGGAGUUAACUUAAUUUCCUAUAUACAAAAGCUCCUAAAUCAAAUACAAAAAAGGCUAUUUUCUUCUAUUUUACUUAAUGGCCAAAUUUCCCCUUAAGCUUCAAAAGGUGAAGCUUGCUUUGUGGAGGUGAUGAUUCAUUCUUCUUUCUUUUGACGCAUUGCAGCUCUUCCCUAUUUUAGGAGUGACAUGGCAUCAUUGGUUCAUAACUACCUGAAUUCUAUACAAAAGGGGGCAGCACUCUAUUUUUCUACUCCUUUUGUUAAUUUGCCUAUUUCUUUUAUUUUUAGUUAUGUGUGAGUAAGGAAAUAGUUGAAACCAUGGAACAAUUGUUGUGAGAUUUAUUUUUAUUAUUGAACAAAUCAAGAUUUCAUCAAUUUGAAUAUCUAUGAUUCUCUUGUGAUUCAAGUAAUGAUUGCAGGUUUGAUUGUUUAGCUGGCCUACCAUUCAAUUGAGCAUGUAUUGCUAGUUAGAAAGAUUGGAUAUGUAAUAGCUUGGUUAAUCUAACACCAGUAGCAAAAGUCUCAUGUGUGUGAAUUCAUCAUCAUACUUAGAGUUUCAUAGUCUAAGUUGAAUAAUUAUACUGCUUAUGUGUAGUUGUUGCUUAGAAUUGUGAUGUAAAUCUAGCUGUGACUGAACUGAACAUAAUAUGCGCAUCAUUAGUUAGUCACUUGUUUUAAUUAAUAUAGUAAUAAGGAAGGAUAAGGAAAUUAAUGCUUCAUUGGUUUCUAUAGCUGAUUUGUUCAAAUUGAUGAAUAUGAUCUUUAGUAUCAAUGAUUAGCAGUUGAUCCCAUGGUGGAUACGCUCUCUCCACUCCACUAAUCUGGUCAUGUUUAAGAUUAAUAAUUCAUUAGUAUUAAACUAACAUUCUAGCUUUCUUAGUUCUUGAAUUUAGGAAAUUUUAUUGAUUCUACAACAAAUAACCCUUUUACUUACUAUUGCAUAUUUAGUUACAUUAGUUUGAGCCUUUUUAUGUGUUAAUUUCAUGUAGUUUAAUCAUUCUAAUACACUUGUCAUUCAUGUGAUUUAGAUGUUGCGUUUCAUAAGAUCUGUUUUAUUGCUUUACAUUUACUUCAUUCCCUGUGGAAUCGACCUCUUACACACUUUGUACACAAAUAGUUUAGGUAGAGCAUAUUUAAUUGGUGCAUUCAGCACGCAUACACCAAGAAGAACAAAAAAGGUAGCCACAGCAGGCAUAUUUGUACCUUCCCAUGCUCUGGAGCACAGAUUAUCUAAGAUCACCAUUAGCAUGUUGAAACUAAAAGCAAUGGCAUAAUAAGAGUAGCGGGUUUCUCAAAAAAAAAUCAAUUUAACUUGAAUUGAUGCAACUGCAAAUAAAUUACAAAAAUCACUAUCAAGUUUGCAGCAACUUUAUUAAAAUAUAGAUACAGGGAUUCAAACAAGCGUAUAAUUCAAGCUUAUACCAUCAUGAUUGUUCAAUUUAAUUUUGAAGUCAGGUUUAGUGAAAAAUGCUGAAAAACAUACCUUGAAUUUUGUAGCAACACUCAGCUUUUGAGAAUCUGCCCCACCUGCUUUAUAUAAAGGACCAACCACAGGCUUCUCUGACUGAGUAAGCAUACUGGAGGCAAAUAUCCGAGGAAGAUGGCGUGAGCAUGAAGACAAAAGUUGAAUGGAAUCCAAGUGUAAUAAGUCCCUAUUCUUCUCCAAAAAUCCUGUUGUAUCAUAUGUAACCUGAAUUGGAUAAAGUAGUCAGGUUGAUUUAGAAUAGCAAAAAUUUUAUUGGACCCAAAUACCCCCUCCCCCAACACCCUCUUCUUCUUUUCUUUGUGAAUUAUGGUAAAAUCAACUAGCAGCUUUGGUUGAAUAAUAGAUGUCGAACUGAACCCAACACUAAAAGACAUUAGAACAUUGAAAUGACUCAAAACUUGCUGAAUCUCUUUCUCUUCAUUCUAAAAUCAGAAGACCAUGCACUCAACGAAACACUAUUGUGCUCUCAGCAAGACAGACCUAGCCAAUGCUUGAGACACACAAAAAAGAAGGUAAUCAUAGACCAUUUGGUUCAUAAAGUUCAUACCUCCCCUGCAUAAUGGCACACCGUGAAGGCUUUGCCUCGGUCCCCUCUGAAACAUGAAUUGCUAUGUAAAUGCUGCUUCAACUUGUUGGCGAAUGUCAAAUCCGUGCCAUUUGGAAAAGUGGACUCCUCAUCUAACAAAGAUAAUAACCCCAAAGGUUUCUGCAUAAAAAGUCGAAGAUAUCAACCACUUCAUUGAAGACAUCCAUAUAUCAUGAUAGAACACGCAAACCAGCUCAAAAAGGUUAAACUGUUAGGUGAUUAGACCCUAAUGUCACAUAAAUCCUUUAUAUUUUUUACGUUGAUUAGUUUGGGAUCUCUAAUACCCCCAUUGCUGAGAGAUGAUUCAGACCCUAAUAAGCCUUGAAGAGAAUGUUUUCUUGUUUUGUAUGAUCAAUAAUAUGGAAGAUUAUUUCCCAUAUGGUUUAUUACUCUCAUUUUAGAGUUAUUCUUACUUUAGUAGAGUUCUUAUUGAGGUAGGACUCAAAUGGGCUAAAAAUUUAUAAAUAGUAGCACCAUGGAAGAGGUUCUUUGGUUUUGGCCCAUAGAUAAAAAGGGUAGACCAUGUACAAGGUUCUCUUGCCCGUACUGAGAAAAAUACUCUAUGGUACAUUUUAUGUUGAAAUAGUAAAUAAUUUGGUCAUGUCUGUGACAAUAAGCAAAACAAACUAUUGAUAGUGUUGACCAUGUAUAGUGCUCUUCAAUGUAAAUAUUUAUACGAUUUAAUUGAAAAUAAUCCUUGGGUAUAACCCUAAUGAGAGGGAGUACAAAGUAAACAAAGUAUAGUUUGUUUUAUUCUUUAUAAUUCAUGCACACCCACAAUCAACAAAGUUACUUUGAUGCCUAACACCCAUGACACAUUAUAGGCUCUAUUAAAAUUUGUUAGAACUAGAUUCACAAAUAUGUUAGGUCCUAUUAACAAGUGGCAAUAAAAAUGUCAUAACAAAAACCGAAAAAAGCAUACAAUACCAAUCAAGAAAUUUUGGUUAAUCAAUGGGCUAAAACAUGAGUAUGAAGGACAAGGGGACAAGGAAAUGGUAGAGUUGGCUCUAAUGACAUGCCUAAGAACCACUCAAUCUAAAAUCCCAACUUAUAGGUGAGGGCAUCAGCUUCAUAUUACACGUCUUACAUGCAGAUAGUCACCUUUAAGAACAACAUGCCUUUGAGUUCCUCUUGCAAGGUCAUAAAAAUUGAUCCUAUAAUUUAAAAUUGAUGGAAUUUGCGCCCCUUACAUCACAUCCAAACGUAUAAAACAUAAAACUACCCUUCUCUCUAAUCUUUAUAAGCCAUGAAGGACCAGAAGAUCAAUUUUUGUUGACUUAUUUGCUGAUCCUAAUUGAUUCUAGGGAUAUGAUUUGAUUUGAUUAGGAUUCUUAAUUAUCUCUGUAAUUAUUAUUUGAUUAUUUGCUUCUUGUUUAAAUAUAAUUUUUUGUAUAUAAAUAGUCAUAUAAACCAAUUGUAAAAAUUAAGAGUGAAAUACAAGAAUUCUCUAAAUGUUUCCAAAAUUCUCCAUGGUAUGAGAGCCUUUUUCCUGAUUUUAGGGUUCAAAUUUAAUUUUUUCCUCUUUAGGAUUUCAAAACCCUAGAUCUACCUUUUUUGGUACUACCCCAUCUAGGAGUCUUUCCUCCUCUCACUGCCAGCACCAGGACUGUUGCCGGCCGAUCGCCCAGCUCCGACGCCGGAAAGCCCGCAUGUGAGGCUCAGGCGCCUCCCCUUCCCGGCGCGUGACCCAUCACAUCCCGAUGCGUGACCAAUCGCCUGACGCUGCUUCGCUGCUCUGAUCACUCCGGCGAUGAUUCUGACCAUCUUUAUGGCCUUCCCGUGCCGCUACCCGGUCAUUUGGUGAAUCGAUUGGGCUCUCUUGUGUGUACAACCUUGGAUACCUCCUAUUCUUUCACGGUUCAUAAAUCUUUACCAAGGCAGAAGGUAAAAGGGUCUCGAUUCCUAACUCUGAUUACUCAUCCUCCGGUGCCACAUCUAACUUUGUAAAGUUAGAUAAUGCUUCCUCUCUUAAUAAUGCUCCAUGGAUUAUCAAUUCUGGUGCGAAUAGACACAUGACAGACUCUUCUAAAGGCUUUCUCCAUUAUUUUCCUUCUCUAACCAAAGAUAGUGUCAGAAUUGUUGAUAGCUCUUUUACUCCCAUAUCCGAAACAGGUUCUGUUAUUUGCACAUCCAACAUUAAAUUAUCAUCUGUCCUUCAUGUUCCCCACUUUCCAGUCAACCUUUUAUCUGUCAGUGCUAUCACCAAUGCCCUUAAUUGUAAAAUUGAAUUCUUUCCUAAUCAUUGUAUUAUUCAGGAUCUUCACACAGAAAAAAGAAUUGGCAAUGGUAAGCUGCAUGAUGGCUUAUAUAUGUUGGAGGGUGAUCCAGGUUCUUCAAUAUCUCAAGCCUGUUUUGGAGAAAAUAAGGAUGUCAAUAAGGAAAUAAUACAGUGAUACAGACGGUUAGGGCAUCCAUCAUUUUUUGCUUUAGAAAAACUUUAUCCUAAUUUGUUUGCUAGAACUCAGUUUGAUUCUCUAUUUUGUGAUGCUUGUGAGUAUGCUAAAUACACUAGAACAUCCUAUCCUUUUAUUUGAUUAAAGCUAAAAGUGAUGUCUUUUCUUGUUUUCAAUCCUUUCAUAAGAUAGUUUGUAUUCAAUUUGAUACUAAGGUAAAAAUUUUGAGAACUGACAAUGAAAGAAAAUACAUGGAUAGUAGCUUUUCUGCUUAUUUGGAGAGUAAUGGGAUAGUACACCAAACUAGUUAUCCUUAUACUAGUGCUCAAAAUGGUGUUGCUGAUCGGAAAAAUAGGCAUCUAUUGGAAGUAGCUCGAUCUCUUAUGUUCACCAUAAAUCUACCCAAAGCAUAUUGGGAAGAUGCAAUCCUUGCAUCUGCUUAUCUUAUCAAUAGAAUGCCGCCUCUCAAGACCCUUGACUUUAUGAGUUCUUUGGUGGUUCUAUAAGGGAAGAAUUCAUACGUUGUUCCACCAAAAGUAUUUGGGUGUGUUUGCUUUGUCCAUACUAGGACAGCAGGGAAAUUGGAUUCCAAGGCUCUUAAAUGUGUGUUUGUUGAGUAUUCUUCAACACAGAAGGAAUACAAGUAUUAUCAUCCUCCUUCUAGGAAAUACUUAGUCAAUAUGGAUAUUACCUUCCGAGAAACUGAACCCUAUUUCAGUACCGCCCACUCACCUUUUCAGGGGGAGAAUAAUGAACAAGAAGAGGUGAUCCCGAAUUAUGUGAUUCUGAACGAUAUAGUUCAACUAGAAAGUUUGAGUUCUAGUAGACAGGGGGAGAUAUCCAAUCAGGGAGAGAGAAUUGGUUGUUUGGACAAGCCAGAUUUGAGAAAGUAUUCGAGGAGAGACAAGGCAGAAAAAGCCAUUAUGCAGUCUACUCAGAGUCGAGAAUCUUCUCCUGGUAAGUUACCCAGUCAAGAAUCUUCUUCUAUUGAGUUACCCACAACUCUUGAAUGCUUCAAUGACUUAGAUAAACCUAUUGCACAAAGAAAAGGGGUCAGAUCUUGUACUAAACACCCUAUUUCUAACUUUGUUUCUUAUGAAUUCUUGUCUCCUUCCUAUAGAGCCUUUACCUAGUCUAUUUCCUGUGUCUAUUCCACAGGAUUGGAAGAAAGCUCUUGCAGAUCCUAAAUGGAAGGAGGCAAUGAUUGAAGAGAUGAAAGCAUUGGCUAAAAAUGAGACCUGGGAGCUUGUCACUCUCCCACCUGGGAAGAAACUCGUUAGUUGCAAAUGGGUGUUCACAGUGAAACACAAAGCUGAUGGCACAAUUGAACGGUUUAAGGCCAAAUUGGUUGCUAAAGGAUUCACCCAAACCUAUGGAGUGGAUUACCAAGAGACAUUUACCCCAGUUGCAAAAAUGAACUCAAUCAAAGUUUUGUUAUCCUGCGCAGCCAAUUUGGACCGGGACUUGCAACAGUUUGAUGUGAAGAAUGCUUUCCUCCAUGGAGAUUUAGAGGAAGAAGUGUUUAUGAAAAUUUCUCCUGGGUUUGAUGAUGAGAAGACACAAGGAAAGGUGUGCAGGUUAAAAAAGGCUUUGUAUGGGCCAAAACAAUCUCCCAAAACUUGGUUUGACAGGUUAGCAAAGUCAUGAUGUCCUUUGGUUACCAUCAAAGCAAUGCUGAUCACACUUUGUUUAUCAAACAUCACAAGGGUAAGAUCACCCUUCUUAUUGUUUAUGUUGAUGAUAUAGUGGUGACAGGCAAUGACAAAGAGGAAAUGGCUCAACUAAAGAGGUUGUUGGCUCAACAAUUUGAAAUCAAAGAUCUAGGAAAACUGCAAUAUUCCCUAGGUAUCGAGGUGGCUAGAUCAGAAAAAUGAAUUUUCAUCUCCCAAAGAAAGUACAUUCUAGAUCUUUUGGAAGAAAAUGGUAUGAUGGGGUGUAAACCAGUAGAAUCUCUCAUUGAAAGCAAUCACAAGCUAGAAGCAGGAACUGGUGAGUCCGUGGAUAUUGGAAAAUACCAGAGAUUAGUAGGAAGGUUGAUUUAUCUCUCACACUCUCGACCAGAUAUAGCCUAUGUUAUUAGCUUAAUCAGCCAAUUCAUACAUGACCCUCGCGAGACUCAUAUGCAGGCUGUACUUCGCAUCUUAAGAUACCUAAAGUCUGCACCAAGGAAAUGGCUUCUUUACUCCAAACAUAGUCACCUCCGAGUUGAAGCAUUUACAGAUGCAGAUUGCGCAAGAUCUCUCGAUGAUAGGAGAUCCACCUCUGGCUACUGCACAGUUGUGGGAAGGAACCUUGUCACUUGGAAGAGCAAAAAACAAAGUGUUGUUGCUCGGUCAAGUGCUAAAGCAGAAUACAGAACAAUGGCCCAAGGUGUGUGUGAACUUUUAUGGUUAUAGAAGUUAUUGGAGGAGUUGAGGUUACUCGAGAGAGACAAGAUAACUGAUAGAACAUAUUUUAGUCCUUUUUAUCUUGAUAUUAUUGAUGAUUAUUUACAUGAUUUCUACUUAAUUUAGUGCUCUUGACAUUAUUUUGCAGAAAAUGGUGUAAAAUGACAUUUUGGAGAAAAUCCCCUUAAAACUGCCUUAAAUGGAGCAAAGGAGAGCAAGUCUGCCAAGUUGAAUUCAAGUGAAGCUAAAUAAGGAAAGUUCUAAAUAAGGAAAGUGGCAAAGAAGGAAAGAACAUUCAGCCAAAGCAAUUUGAAAUUCAAAUUUCAAACCUCCAAGUAGCCUUUUCCUUAUUCAAGAAGCUUUUUCCUUAUUCAAGAAGCCAAGUCUCAAGUUGCCAUAAAUGAAGAGCCAAAUAAGAAAAGUAUUUUGAAUUUCAAAUCUUCAAGAUUCAUAUUCAAAUUUUGAAUUUCAAAAUCCAGCUUAUCAAGGAAGCCAAAUUCAAAGAUCACAUGCUUGCCACCUCAUGCCUUGCACAUUCAAAAUUCAAAUUGCAAAGAAGGCUCCACCUUCCUUAUUAGUGCAUGGGCGGCAAGGAGAGUGUGAAGGCAAGUCUUGGGCACCUUGGGCAGCAUCUUGAAGACACUUGGGCAGCAAGCAAAGACCAAAGGCCCCACUCCUUGCACUUGAACACAUGCCCCACGUUUUUCCCUUCUCACAUGUGCAUGGAUGGCACAUCUUGGACCAAGGGCAUUUUGGGCAGCCUCUUGAAGUCUUUUGGGCAGCCUCUUGACACCUUGGGCAGCCUCUUCACUAAUUAGGAAGCAAGUAUCAUCUAGGGCAACACUUUUCAAGUAUAAAAAGACACAUAAGGAGCCUCCCCAUGCCCUUUCAAGCCCCCCUUGGAGGCACCUACGGGAUUCACAUCUCUUCUUCUACCUUUCUUCUUUUCUUUUAUUUUUGAUUUUUGUUUCAGCCAUGAGAGGCUGAAAUCUUUUAUUCUAGUUGAAGAUUAGGUGAUGCUUUAGUUGUUUUAUGGAUUGGAAGACUUGAUCAAACAUUGUUUAUCUUUUGUUAUUCAAUAUUCAUACAAUCUCAUGCUUAAUUCCAUUGUUGCUUUGUUGUUUUGAUCAAUAUGGCCAAUUGAUUCUUGAUUGCAAGGUAAUAAUAUGUUAGUUUGGAUAAUUUUUAGUCCGUAAUUGCUGGAAUUAUUCAAACAUAAGAACACUUGGUGUAAAAACCAAGGAAAUUGUAUGAUCUAGCAACAUCUCAUGCGUUUGAGUAGUUAGGAUUGGAUCUCUCUCUUUCUUCAUGCAAUUAACAAUUGUUUGAUGCCUAAGGCCCAAUGACGUUCCUUGGCAAUUUGUUAAUUAGUAAUUAAUUAGAGGACGUUCCCUAAUUGGUUUAAUCAUAAGGAGAGACAUGGUGGUGAGAAGCGUCUUCUUCCAUCUCCAUAACUAAUCUAUUGAAUCAAUCAAAAGAAACUAAGUGUCAAUGAUCAAUCCCAACAACUGAAGUGGAUUCAAUUCUUCAACUAGAGCUUUCUUAUUAUUUAUUUCUCUUUUAUUUUAUUAUUCGCUUAUUUUAAUUGCUUUCAGUAGUUUGUGAAUCAAAUCAAUCUCAAACCCCCCAUUUUACUUUUACUGCAAUUUAUUUUUAUUCCGCUUUCAGUUUAUCUCGUUUUCAGUUUUAUCUCGUUUCAGUUUGUUUUGCUUUCAGUUUAUUUUGCUUUCAGUUUUAUCUCGUUUCAGUUUGUUUUGCUUUCAGUUUAUUUUGCUUUCAGUUUAUUUCGCUUUCAGUUUAUUUUGCUUUCAGUUUAUUUCGCUUUCAGUUUAUUUUGCUUUCCGUUUAUCUCGUUUCAGUUUAUUUCUCUUUCAGUUUAUUUUCAUUUCAGUUAAUUCUCUUGGUCUUGAUAAGAAAAAUAGGUAAGUUCUCAAUUCUCUGUGCAUUCGAUCCUUUCACCACUAUCUACAGUUGUAAAAUUGUUGAUAACCAGAAAGGUUAUUUUUGACCGGCUUCGACAACCGCGAGUCAAUAACUUUGUAUUGUAACAAUAAAGCUGCUAUAAGUAUAACAUAAAAUUCAGUCCAACAUGACUUGACGAAACACAUUGAAAUUGAUCGGCAUUUCAUUAAAGAAAAAUUAACAGAUGGUGUCUUGAGCCUAGUUCAUGUGACUUCUACUGGGCAACUUGCGGAUGUGUUUAGUAAAGGGCUCAAUAACAAGAUCUACCAUAAUCUGACUUGCAAGUUGGGCAUGUGCAACAUCUAUGCACCAACUUGAGGGGGAGUGUUGACUUAUUUGCUGAUCCUAAUUGAUUCUAGGGAUAUGAUUUGAUUUGAUUAGGAUCCUUAAUUUUCUUUAUAAUUAUUAUUUGAUUAUUUACUUCCUGUUUAGAUAUAAUUCUUUGUGUAUAAAUAGUCAUAUAAACCAAUUGUAAAGAUUAAGAGUGAAAUACAAGAAUUCUCUAAAUUUUCCCAAAAUUCUUCAAUUUUAAAAUCUCAGCAACACGGAUUUUUACAGGACGUACCAGAUGUCAUUUUAUAAUAGAAGUAUGCGUCUACUUCUUAAACACAAAAAAAAAAGUGCAUAAAUAAAGCAUACAUGAGAAUUUCCAGCAGCAGCACUAUACCUUUUCAAAGAGAUUGAGACAAUCUUGAUUGUCUUCAAAAUCAACUUUUGCCCAGUCAAUUCCAUCCUGAAUAUAUUCCUAGUAAAGGCAGGAACAACCAAUAAGCAUAAACAAUAGAAAUGUUCUAUUAUGUCUGUUGUUUCAUCCAUGUAGAAUAGGUGAGUAAUAUUAAGAGAACAGAUUAAGAAUAUUUAGAGAAAAGUUUACAAAAUGUGGAAAUACCUGAACUAAUAAAUUGAGAUUCUUUAGGAGAAUUUUUCUUUUAAGAAGCUUAUUUAGAAGGCUUCAUGGACCAAUUAGUGAGAAUUAGAAGAAAAUUUUCUACCCAGGAAUCAGCUUGGAAUUCUUAAAUUGUUCAUGGUAGUGUUCUAGUGUGAGAAGCUUACUAGAAACCAUCCCCUUAGAAGUUUAUCUCUUGAAUUUCAAAGAUUUGAUAGUUACCUCCUGCUCUAACUUGAAUAAAUGACGGUUAAAGUGUUGCUGCAACCUCUCAUUUGCAUAGUUUAUACAAAAUUGCUCAAAACUGUUCCUCUGCAAAGCACAAAAAUUAUUAAGCAAAGCAAUAAGAGAUUAAGGGAGAGAGCAUCAUAUGAAAAUUAUAGUUGGAACAUACUUCAAAUGAUUCAAAUCCAUAAAUAUCAAGAAUGCUGAUAGAUCUUCCUGUUCGCCUUUUGCCAACCGCAAGAGAUUUGUUAAUCUGUUCAACCAACCACUCAAAUAAACAAGCAUAGAUUGACUUUGCCAAUGCAUCUCUUGUGUCAAUUGCCUGUAAAAUACAAAACAAACAUGUGCAUCAUGGUAAAAAAUUUGCUCGUAUAUUUGACAUCAAGUGGAAACUUCCCCAUGUAUUUGAUAUCAAAUUUAAAAACCGUACAUGCUAUGGUAAUAUAAUGUCAAGGAUGGUCUAUCACAGUCUUUCUUCCUUUCAGACAAGCAAAGAGAAUAAUAAUAUAAUUAACAUGAACUGAGAGGUUGCCAACCUUAACAUAAGAGGAUAAUCAUACGUCAAAUAUACAAACCUACAUUGAAAAAAAGAAUAUUCCAAGUUUCGAGAUCGCCAAAUAUAUGAAAAAAGAAAACAAAGUCAUUGGGAAAGAACAUUGUUUUAAAGAUACAACUAUAAUUACCACUUAACCUGAAUGCAACAAAAUUGCAGAAAACAUAGAAUGAUAAAGCCAGCAUAAGUGUAUUGACCAAACGUACGUCAGCACGUUUAGGAACUAAAGCAAUCCACGUUAAGUUGCUAGAAUUUUUUUAGUGUUGAAGUGUUGAUAAAGAAAAUCAUAAUAAUUUACUUCAAACAACACAUACAAGAUUCACGCAUGUUGAUACUUGCAUGAAAGCAUAAAGAGAAGAAAGGGUGGGAAUGAGAAAAACAUGGUCUUAGAGUGCACAAUCCUUAAAAUAUAAGGAUCUCAAUUGAAUUAUUACAUCCUAGAAACAGUAAAGAGCAAGAUCAUGAAAGACCUUGGCAAACAAUUCAAGGCUUAUGGCCCCACACCACAGCGCAUAUGUUUUACAAGCAUUAUCCAACCACAGAUUUGGUUGCACUGCCACAUAUAUAUGAGUUACAUGCCACAUACAAUCAAAUUUCACUUAUUUAACUAGGUUGCUACUUGCUAGAGUAUCCCAGUCGUAUAUACACAGCACAAGAGAGUUGGUUUAAAGCCUGCUCAUCAUUGUGAUUGAGGGCCAGAGAAAUGCUUUCCAGAAAAGGGGAAAAAAAAUCAUUUAGAUACUAUUGAAAAAAAGACAAUUUGGAAUAAGUUGUUUUGUUAUUUAGUGUUCUUAUGACUAAAAUAUGUCAAAUAUAAUUUUAAAUCAAUUUUUAAUAUUUUUAACUAAUGUAUUUAAGAAAUUGUAUUUCUCAACAGUAGCUCCAACAACAAUACCUAGUAGACUCUUAAUUUCUGGAAGUCCAAUUAGAAGAAACCCAUAUGGAAAAGACAGUGAAAAAAAAAGUACCACAAUGUCUAAUCAAAAUUUAAAUUCCAAGAUAUUCAUGAUGUAUAGCCUCACUACUCCUUCACCAAACAUAUACAAGUUGCAAACACUGUACAAUCACGGUCAUGAUAAGGUGGCGUAUAAUCAAAGCCAUUGAGAAUGUGAUACAGAGACUAUUACAUAAACUUUUUAGAGAAUUAGAAAAUUAUAUUAAAGACAUAUUUGUAAAUAGUUUAGUUAAAAAUAUGUUUUUCUGUAUUCGUGUUAACACAAAUACUCGAUUAAAAAACUGUUCACAUCAUAUCUUAUUGGCAAAGGACACUUUAGCCCACUGUAUAAAGCUCCAAAGAUUAUUUAAGGCAAGGCCAAUUAUUUUGGGCUAAAUAGGCCCUUGUUUAUUUAAAAAUAAAAAAAUAAAAAAAGCCCACCGUCAAGCUCUGUUACAGUGACGUUACUCUGAAAUCCUUUAAUAGUAAAAAAAAAUUCCCCAUAUCACUUUCCUCAGCCAGAAAAUAAAGAAACAAAGAAAGAGAGAAAGGAGAAGAUAACCACGUAAUCCAGAGCAAAGGCAGCCACAUAUACAGGGUUCUUCUUCUUCUUCUUCUUUGCUGCGACUUAGGUUGAAGAAAUGGCCUAAAAAUGAACUGGAUAGUGCCUCAAGCCACUGUUUUCUGUCUUCUAUAUCUUCUUCUUCUUCUAAUGGUUACUGUUUGCAUGCUAACAAGGAAAAACAAAAGGAAAAAGCAAGGGGUAUAUGGUUGGGCUCCUGGGUGCACCUCUUAUAGAUCGCCUACCUUUGGAUGUCUCAAAUGAUGGAUCUCUCCAUGUCUUUGGGUGCACAUUCUCCUACCCAUGUUUCUCCUCCAAUUAUGCAAUCUACUUGUUCCAUAUGAAUGGCUGGAAGAUGAUGAUGAAGCCAUUUGAAGAUGUUAAGAGGGACUUUGGAUGAUGAUUAAGCGUGAUGCUCAUUGAUGUUCACUCAAAUUCACGAUGACAAUGAGAGGGAAAGAAACAAAGGAUAAACAGACCAAGUUAACAUCCAUCCAACCUCACAGGCAAGUGAGGUGAUAUCAUGGAUUUAAAUCGCAUUUGCAGUUGCGAUCACACGUAAAAAAUUUGCGUAGCUCAUGAAAUUAAAAAAUACUAAAAAAUUUGCUUAGCUCAUGAAAUUAAAAGAUACUCCCUCCAUCCCAUACUUUUUGUCCAUUUUGCUUUUUCUCACAUGUUUAGAAAAAAAAAAUUUUAUUAACUUUCCAAUUAUACCCAUUUUAAAGACAUUAAAUUUUAUUAAAUACUAAGAGAUAUUUUGAGAGAUUUUUUAGAAAUAAGAUAAAAUUAAAUAGGAUUAUAAUAAUCAAUUUAUAUGUUGCUAUAGUGUAAAGAAAGAAAGAGAAUAAUAAUUUUAGGAUAACCAAAAAAGAAAGGUGGACAAAAAUUAUGAGACAGAGGGAGUAUUUAAAGUUAUGAAAAAAUUUAUGCAGCUCAUGAAAUUAAAAGAUAUUUGAAGUUAUGAGCAUAACUAAAAAAUCCAAUCAAAUAAUAAGCAUUAAUACAUCAAAUAAAUAUAUUCAAUCCAUCUACUUGGCUUAAACACUUAAUCCUCCUUUCUAGAAAAAACUAAUUUCAGAUAAGGAUGAGUUUUAUUAGACUAAAAAUAUGCUGUCAUAAUGUUAUUUUAUUCUGAUAGGGAUUUUGCUAUUUUAUUUUAAGUAGGACUUCUGAUUUACUUAGAACUAUUUUAUUCUAAUGGCAGUGGGCUCCACGGCUAUUUCUCGGAAGUAAUAGCAGUGCAACCCCAUUUAUAAAAAAAUUAUCUAGAAGUGGAAUGGUUCUAGAUAAUUUCAUUGCACACAAUCAUAGGCCUGCAGAAUCCCAUAAACAUACAUAAAUCUAGAACCAUGCACUGAUAACUGAAAUACAAGACUGUCCAAUGAAGGUGUUGGUAGACUCGGGCAGCACACAUAAUUUUCUUAGCCGAGUAGCAGCCCAUCGCUUGAAAAUAGCAAUUGAUCAGCAUAAUGGCCAGAAAAUUCCUAGCAUGGGGAGGAACAAGGAAAAACUAUCCAUCGAAUGUGUGUUUUUUCCAAUCGACUUUUACAUUAUACCCCUAAAUCCCUAAAUGGGUUUGAUAUUGUUUUGGGUGUUCAAUGGCUGCUCACAAUAGGCAAGAUAGAGUGAGAUUUUAAUACCCUAACCAUGAGUUUUCAGUUUGGAAACCAAUGCAUCCCCUUGGAGGGACUCCACUUUGAUCCUCUACCACAGGUUCACUCGAUCAGAUCCGCCACUAACCAACAAUCCUUGGAGGCAUUACUAGAGGAUUCUCAGUCCUCUUCCAAGAACCCACGAGAUUGCUGCCUAUCAGGAAAUGUGACCAUCAGAUCUGUUUACUUCCGAGUUCUUCGCCAGUAGUGGUACGACUAUACCACUAUCCUUGUCUUCAAAAAAAUGAAAUUGAGAAACAAUCUGAUGAGAUGCUAUGCCAAGUAAUUAUCCGUCUAAGCCACUCUCCUUUUUCUUCACCAGUAUUGUUGGUUAAAAAAUAAGAUGGGUCAUGUCGAUUUUGUCUAGACUACGGUGAGCUAAAUGCUAAAAUAGUAAAGGAUAAAUUUCUGAUUCCAAUUGUGGAUAAAUUACUUGAUGAACUCCACGAAACCCAAUAUUUUACUAAGCUGGACUCACGAUCCGGCUAUCAUCAAAUCCGGAUGAAAAAAAAGAAGACGUAGAGAAAACAACAUUUCAAACUCAUUAUGGGCACUUUGAGUUUCUAGUCAUGCCCUUUGGCCUCACCAAUGCUCCCUCAAUAUUUCAAGCAUUAAUGAAUGAGGUAUUUCAACUUUAUCUUCAAAAUUUUGUUCUGGUUUUCUUUGAUGAUAUUUUGAUUUACAGCAAAACAUGGAACAUUUGCAUCACAUACAGUUAGUAUUUCAGGUACUUCAUUCCCACUGCCUAUCCUUAAAACAAUCAAAGUGCUCAUCCAGAGAACAACAAAUUUUCUAUUUGGGCCACAUCAUUAAUGCUACAUCGGGUGUAUCCAGCGGAUGCCACAAAAAUUCAAGCCAUAAUAGAAUGGCAUCUCCCAUAUUCUAUCACGGCUCUACGCAGGUUCCUCAGGUGGACUAUCUAUUAUAGAAAAUUCAUUCGAGAUUAUGAUACCAUCGCCGCACCGCUCAUACAACUUCUCAAGACAAAUAGCUUCAACUGGAAUAAUGAGGCAGUAGCUUCUUUUGUAAAAUUGAAACAGGCCCUGAUUCAAGCCCCAGUCCUUUGCUUGCCAAACUAUGCAAAGAAAUUUGAAGUGGAAUGUGACGCAUCCGAAACUGGAAUUGGCGCUGUUUUGCACCAACAGCAGUAUCCUAUUGCCUUUUUCAGUAGAAAAUUGGCCAUUCGACACCAUAAAUUAGCUGCCUAUGAACGUGAAUUGAUCGGACUGGCUAAGGCCAUUCAACAUUGGCAGCCUUAUCUUUGGAGAAGGUCUUUUGUCAUCCAAACGGAUCAUUACACUGACUUAGCAAAUUGAUGGGUUUUACUUUCCGUGUAGAAUACAAGAUGGGCAAUCAUAAUGUAGUGGCAAAUGCACUUUCACGCCGACAUGAAGAGCAAGGACAAUUGAUGGCAGUUUCUUCUCCCACCGUUAUGAUAUUCGAUGCCAUUCGACAGGAGGUUGUAAAUUCCACAAAGUUAUCUCAAUUGCAACAACAAAUUUUAGAUGGGCAAAUGGAUGCCGCGUGGACAAUACGCGAUGGGUUGCUUCUCUAUCAUAAUAGGAUCUACCUUCUUCUGGAUUCAUCAUUGAUCCCUACAAUAAUAAGUGUUGUCUACAAUGGCACCCACGAAAGUGUUCAGAAAACGCUUCAUCGCAUUCACAGUGAUUUCUUCUAGACAAAUAUGAAGUCAACAAUUAGGGAAUUUGUUGCUUCUUAUUCUAUUUGUCAAAAGAAUAAAAUAUCAAACUUGCAUCCUAUAGGUUACUUCAGCCCCUUGCACUUCCAUCUCAGAUAUGGUCCGAUAUAUUUUCUAAAUAUGCAUAUUUCCUACCACUUACACACCCUUAUACAGCAAUAUAUUAUUAAACUAAAUGGUGUGCCGAAUCAAUUGUUAGCAAUCAGGACGUUAUCUUCACCAAUAAUUUUUGAAAGGAGUUAUUUUAUUUGGUGGGAACCAAAUUGGCCUUUUCUUCGGCUUACCACCCUCAAUUGGAUGGACAAACCAAAGUUGUGAAUUGUACCCUUGAAAUGUACCUAAAAUACUUUGUAAGUGACAAACCCAAAAGUUGGGUGGAUUGGGUAGCAUGGGCGGAAUUUUGUUAUAAUACUUCCUUCCACACAGCAAAGAACCACCUCAAUUAUUGUCCUAUGACCCAGAUUCUGCUGGUGUGGAGGCUGUCGAUGCGGCAUUAAAGGAAAGGGAUCAAGUUCUAGAAGAAGUCAAAUUUCACCUACACUAAGCUCAAGCACGCAUGAAGCAAUACUAUGAUAAAGGGCACAUAGGUAUUUCUUUUAAGAAGGAUGAUUGGGUUUGGCUUCGUUUGCAUCCCCGUCGACGUUUCACUAUUACAAAACAAUAAGGAAACAAGUUGCUGCCGAAGUUUUAUGGCCCAUUUCAAGUGCUGCAAAAAAUAGAAAAUGUGGCCUAUCAAUUGGCUUUGCCUUCCUCUAGCAAGAUCCAUAAUGUCUUUCAUGUUUCUUUGCUAAAGCCUUUCAAAGGCAUUCCCCAACGACAAUGCCCACACUACCACCUGUGACAGAUGGUCGCGCACGUCCCGUACCAGCGCACAUUAUCUGGGCACGUCUCAACCAAGGGAUAUGAGAAGUCUUGGUUCAAUGGAUUGGUUUAGCAGCUUCUGAUGCCAUGUGGGAGACUUUAGAUGACUUUCAAUAGGUUUAUCGUGACUAUCAGCUUGCGGACAAGCUUUUUCCGAGGGAGGGAGUGAUCGGGAGGGAGUGAUGUUAUAGAUGCUUUUAUCGGCAAGACUUGUCAUCGACAGCAGCAAGUAAAUCGGGGCUCAAACACUUAAUCGUCCUUUCUAAAAAAGACUAGUUUCAGAUAAGGAUGAGUUUUAUUAGACUAAGAAUAUGCUGUCAUAGUGCUAUUUUAAGCUGAUAGAAAUUUUGCUAUUUUAUUUUAAGUAGGACUUCUGAUUUACUUAGGAUUAUUUGCAGUAAGACUCUAUUUGUAAUCUCCAUUUAUAGAGAUUUCUGAUUUACUUAGGAUUAUUUGCAGUAAGACUCUAUUUGUAAUCUCUAUUUAUAGAGAUGAAUUUUAUGAAUAAAGCAAGUAUAUUCUGAGAUACAAAUAGAGAUUAGAGGCUUUCUCUUUAACGAGUCUUGAGGUAACAGGUUCCCUCCAACAAGCUCCAUCACAGCAGUCAUAGGUUCAGCAAAGUGAGGAAGAAACAGAAAUAAGGGAAAGGCUGCUGCAGCUGAAGAUUCGACAGUUCAUCGUAGACCCGUGACAAGAUCCUUAACCAGAGAACUCAACGCCAUCAUCAUUAGAUAACUUUAACAAUAAUUAAUUUAUAGCUAAAAUAACAAGAUAACAUGGAUGGUAAAAACUAAUUGUUCAUACUAUAAAUUUGACAAAAAGAACUUAGCAACCAACAUUAUUUUAUUUAAUAAAUAUGUAAAACAAAGAUAAAUAACUCAAAUUUUAUAAGAUAUAAAUAUAUAGAAUUAAAAAGAUAGUUGAUGAUCUUAGUUUAAGAGAAAAGAAAUGAGACAUUUGUAGAAAAUAGUUAAAUUUUGAAAGAAAUUUGAGAAAAGUGAGAUAUAACAUUAUAAAACUUUCUAAUCUAAGAAAAAAAAUUGAGUUGUUAACCCCAUAUGGCUUUUAAAAAAACUAGGUAAUGGACCGUUACCGUUAACAGUAAAUAACAUCAGUUACAGGAACAAAUUUUUCUUGCCCUCUAAAUAAUGGGUGUAACAGUAACGGGAGGGUCAAAAACCUACAAAUAAAGGCCUUCAUUUUAAACCAAGGGUGAUAUUGGGCUUAUUUAUUCAAUUUUACUAUGAUUAUGACCUUUCUGAUGUUUCUAAAAAUAAACUGGGGGCUAUUUGGCCCAAAAUAACUGACCGGGCUCACAUAUGAACUUUUGGGCUUUUUACAAGGGUCCAAAGUGGCCCUUUGCCUAUUUCGUUUUCAUUAUUAAUCAAAUUCACGAUGUGAACAACAUAGCACCAUAGACUCCAACGACAAUUUGCAACACAUGCACAUACGCUAACCAAACAGUAGCUUUUAACUUUGACUCAGCAUUGAAAACACGCACAAGCACCAAACAAAAAAAAAAUGACCACAUUGAGUAAGCUAAUUAAGUUUUCUUUUACCACUAUUAAGUUGAAAUUUUAGAUAUAGUAAAGAUUGAUUUUUUAGCAUAAAAUAUAGGAUAGAAGAAAAAAAAUUAUGUUAAAACAGUUGCUAUCAUUUUCUAAUUAAUCAGUAAGUAACAACCACAGUUGUUGGUAACAACUGUUGAACUUUCAUAAUGGCUAUCACGCAGACAUUUUCAAAACUUCAAUUAACUAACAAGGAUACUAGUUAUAAAAGGCCAAAGUUUUAUUAUGUAACAAUGUUGUGAAAGAGUAACAGCCAAUGUUUAACUUCAUGCUCCCUCAAGUUGCAUCUAAAAACAAUCAGAUCACAAUCCCAUAUAAAUUUAGGGUUGGACUUCAUAGAGAAAGAAAAGAUGAUGUGUUCCCAGAUACUCACCUGUGAUAAAGUUAGCUUUUGGAUGAUAUUAUCAUUGCCAACUCUCAUUUUGCGAGUUGAUAAAGCUAACUUAAGCUCCCCAACAUCACAUCCAAUCAAUUUGGCAACAGUGGUUAAACCUGAAACAUGAAAUAUGCAGAUUUCAAUAGUCAUUGGUUAUACACCAAACACGCAUCCCCCAUCCCCCACCCCUCCUCUUCCCAAUAGAAUAAGAAGGAAAAAAGAAAAGUCUAGCCUCCAACAAAGGAAGAGGAACAGUUUGAUAAGAUUAUAAAGCAAUAUAUAAUUAUUUCUUUUAGUCAUUGCGAAGAGCGAGAAUAAAACUUGCAAAACACAGAUGGAGCAACAGUUUUAUGAAUUGAAAUUACUGCAGUCUAUCUAUUGAAAAUCAUUAGGAUUGAGUAUUUGAUGCUAGCUCUAUAACGAAAACAAUAUAGAAUUGAAUUAAAUUUGACAUGUCCACAUUAUUACUUUUCAUUUUUUUUCCAUCAUAAAUAAUAAAAUGCACAACCAAUAUCUACUAAGGAUGUUGAAGAUUUUAGUUAGAGAUAGGAAAAUUUACUAUUUAGUCCCUAUGGUACAAACAAACUCAUUAGUUGGUUCAUUGAUUUUGAAAAAUACAUUAAAAUGUCUUUGAGGUAUUAAAAAAUCUACUAAUUAGUUCUUCCGUUAGUUUAGUUUUCAAGUAUUUUAUAAUUUAGUCCCUAUGAUGUGAGAAAAUUCAUUAAUAGGUCCCUCAGUUUUAUAAAAAUGUUUAUUAAUUAGUCCUUCCAUAUAGAAGGCAUUUUAGACUUUUCUUCAACACUUGAUAGCUAAAAUUAACGGAAGAACUAAUUAUUAGACUUUUUAAAAUCUCAUAAACGUUUUAAUGUAUUUUUUAAAACUGAGAGAUCAACUAGUAACCUUUCUACAAGCUGAUUCUUCAUUACUAAUUUCUAUCAUAGCAUCAAUGACUCAAGUGUUUUAAUCCAACUCUCAAUCAUAUUGUGUACUAUGUAUUGAGAAAGGUAACUGAAUCAUCCAAUCCUACUCCCCUUGCUUAAAAGACCUUGACUACCAUAUGACUUGGGCACCGUUGAUGUCAAAAAUAACCGGCACUUGGAAAGUAUUUUGUAACAAAAACAUUUCGUAAGAUAAUUAUUUUUGUUUGGUUGUAACACAACAAAAUAAGAUGGAAAUUAACAUAUGGCAUCUGCAAUAGUUGGGGAGAAAAAAGCAGAUUUUCCUUUUGCUAAAAAACAUGCAAAUAUGAAAAUGGUCGAACCUAUAAAAGCUUCAUAGUUUUUAGUAACAGUUGAACAUGACUAUAUGAGAGAAAAUACAUAAAAAAGGUAAAUAGCAGUUAUAAUCUCUAAUAAAGCUAUAAAAAAAUGGAAGAUCAUGGUUAUCAAAGGUGGACAUUAUCAGUGUUGGUCAAUAAAAUAAAGCGUGACAUGUGUGUAUGUGUUUCCUUUAUAAUUUUUUUCCCUUUUGAUGAGUUUGACAGAGUCAAAAACAUUUUUCCUUUGAUUAGGAAAUCAUUUACCAUUAACUAGUUGUCCAAGGUAGACAUAAACAUCAUAUUCACAUAAAUGGUUAUCAUUUUUUUUCUUUGCAUCACUUUGUCACCUAGUUAAUCAAUUUGCUAUAAUUUUACUCAAUUAAUGUGGACAUACAUGACAUAAGGUAAUAAUUUUUUCCAAAUAACAUCAAUGAGACACCCAUGUAAGAUAGUUGUGCAGCACAUUUAUGCCAUGCAAUAGCCACAUCUUAGAAUAACAUUAAACUAUAACAAAAUUUUAAAGAAAUUGUAAAACACGUUGUAGCUAAAGCGUAUCUGAAUUAGUACUAGAAAGCAACCGUCAGUUUUGGGCUUCUAACCAGUUUGGGUUGUUUGAUGAUCAUGGCAAUGGAAGUAACAUUUAAAAAUUUUAAUUGAAACUCUAGAAGCCAAGACUCCUAUCUAUUGGUGCUUUGAGUCUCCUGCAGUUAACCAUUAGUUGCCAACAUCUAAUUAUUAGACCUAUCAAUCCAAACAAACCUUAAUAUCAAUUGCCUUGCCUUAUCAAUAACAUCUUGAUGAAUAUACAUGAAAGCAAUUUUAGCUUAAUAUUCAAAGUUGGUAUUUCCAUAAACAAAAUGGCUAUGAUUGCUGCUAAACAAUGUUUUUCAUAAAUUCCCAAUCACUUGAAUCAUUGUAUAUUACACUCUCUUUCAUCAGUCCCUGAAAAGUUACUCUCUCCCUCUCUCUCUGGCAAGAGGUAGGGAUGCAUAAAAAGAGCCAAUAUAUGCAAGAAAGCGUUUUUUCCUUGUUAGACUACAAAACCAAAUGUAACAAUUAAGUGUGCAUUCAUUUUCCUUGUGGUUUUCUAUUUUUCGUUUUUUAUUUGACAAAAAAACAUGUAACUUUGUUCAGUUAUAGGUGUUGGUGUUUUUAUUUCUACUACUAAUAAGAAAGAGGUUUUAAAAUCAAAAAACUGAAAACUACAAAUAUUAGUUUUCUUGUUACAAAUCCUAUCAAACCAUUAUUUUUCUUUGCAACUUUUAUUAGAUUACCAUUAGCAAUUUUGAGAUUUUAUCUUUAUCAAUAUUCAUUUCUUUUUUUUUUUCAAUUACAUAUUCAUUCAAUUAAUUUAUAAUAUAUACUUUUAUUUUACUACAAGAAAAAUUUACUAUUAAGUCCUUGUGGUAUAGGGAAAUUUAUUAAUUAAUUCCUCGACUUGAAAAAUAUAUUAAAACGUCCUUGAGGUUUUAAACAAUUUACUAAUUAGUCCUUCCAUUAGUUUUAGUUGUUAAAUAUCUUACUAAUUUAGUCCUUGUGGUAUAAAAAACUCAUUAAUUGGUCCCAUAGUUUAGUAAAAAUAUCUAGUAAUUAGUCCCUCCACAUUGAAAAAAUUUUAAACUUUUUAGCAAGAAAAAUUUACUAUUUAAUUCCUGUAAUAUGGGAAAACUCAUUAAUUGAUCUUUCAGUUUUGAAAAAAUAAAAUAUUCUUAAUAUUAAAAAAUAUAUUAAUUAGUCCUUCCAUUAGCUUUAGCCAUUAAAUGUUUUACUAUUUAAUUUAAUCCUUGUGCUGUGAGAAAAUUCAUUAAUUGGUUCUUUAAUUUUGUAAAAAUGUCUACUAAUUAAUUCAUUUGUAUUGAGGGCAUUUUAAAUUUUUUUAUAACACUUAACAGCUAAAAUUUAUGUAGGGAUUAAUUUAGUAGAUUUUUUAAAACUUCAAGAACGUUUUAAUGUAUUUUUCAAAAUCAAUGUUAGUGAUUUUUCUUCUACCAUAGGAACUAAAUAGUAAUUUUUUAUUUUUGCUAAAAUUAUCGGACUAACUAGUAGACUUUUUAAAACCCCAGGAAUUUUUUAAUGCAUUGUUUAAAAUAAAGGGACUAACUAAUAAAUUUUCCUAUACUACAGAAAUCAUAUGGUACUUUUUUCUCAUUAUAAUAUCAUAUAGAAGUAAUUUAUUAUUCAUUUAUAUGUGAAAUCAUUUAUAAAAUUAUUUGUAUCCUUAUUUUAUUAUUAAAUAUCAUAUUUCGAAAAGUCUUUUUAUAUAAAAAUUUAAAAAUUUAUUUUGAUACAUACAAUUUUUAAAAAACCGUUUUUAUGAAGUAAAUAACAAAAAUCAAAAAACUGUUUUUCGUUAAAAAAAAAUAAAAAUAGAAACCUGCAGUGUUACCAAAUGCACUCUAAAUUUAGAAAUAUUAAAUUUUAAAAAUAAAAAGGUUAAACUCAACUUUUCAAAAAUCCAACAAUCUAUUCAAUAAGAGGAAAUAAAUGCAAUGAUAUAAUUAUUGUAAGUUUCAUAUUAUUGUGUGAAUAGAUCAUUAAUUCAAUCAUGUUGAACUUUCUUGGUCUUACAUCUAUAUUUAGCAUUUAUCUAUUUCUAAUUCAAGCAUGGUUUCAAGUCGCGAUCGCGGCCACGGGUAACAGAAACAGGCCUGUAACGGUCAUAAUAACGUAUCGGUAACGGCCUGUAGCUACGCAAAUUUUUUUGAAAAAUUUGCAAAGUUCAUAAAAUUAGCAAAUAUUUAAAGAUAUAAUCAAAAGUAAGUUAUACAACUUAAUAAUAAGUACAAAUAUAUCUAAUAAACACAAAAUUUAUAAAAUUUAAACAUC
rnacentral:lncRNA from 1 species